rnacentral:lncRNA from 1 species
GGCAACAACUUCUGUCAAGCACAUGGAGAAAUUGUCUGAAGAAGAUUCUUGGCAGUUGUUUCAACAGCUUGCAUUCGGGAUGAGAAGGAAAGAGGAGCGGGCACACCUGGAAGCCAUUGGAGUAUCAAUAGUGAAGAAGUGUGGUGGUGUUCCUUUAGCUAUAAAGGCACUAGGGAACCUAAUGCGGCUAAAAGAAAGUGAAGAUCAGUGGAUAGCUGUCAAAGAAAGUGAGAUUUGGGAUCUAAGAGAAGAAGCAAGCGAGAUCUUACCUGCUUUGAGGUUGAGUUACACUAAUCUAUCACCACAUUUGAAGCAAUGCUUUGCGUAUUGCGCUAUAUUUCCAAAAGAUGAGGUGAUGAGGAGGGAGGAGCUGGUUGCUUUGUGGAUGGCAAAUGGCUUUAUUUCUUGCAGAAGAGAAAUGGAUUUGCACGUCAUGGGUAUUGAGAUAUUCAAUGAACUAGUGGGAAGGUCAUUUCUGCAAGAGGUCGAGGAUGAUGGAUUUGGCAACAUAACAUGUAAAAUGCAUGAUCUUAUGCAUGAUCUUGCACAAUCCAUUGCAGCACAAGAAUGCUAUACGACAGAAGGCGAUGGGGAGUUGGAAAUUCCUAAGACUGCCCGUCAUGUUGCUUUUUAUAACAAAUCAAUAGCUUCGUCUUCUGAAGUUCUCAAGGUCCUAUCACUUCGCUCACUUCUUGUGAGGAAUGAACAGUAUGGGAAUGGAUGGGGAAAGAUUCCUGGUCGAAAACAUCGAGCCUUGAGUUUAAGAAAUAUCCGGGCCAUGCCGAAGUCAAUUUGUGAUUUGAAACAUCUAAGGUAUCUAGAUGUAUCAGGCUCCGAGAUCAAAACACUGCCUGAAAGUACAACCUCUCUCCAAAACCUCCAGACACUAGAUCUGAGUUCUUGCAAACAGCUCAUCCAUUUACCAAAAGGUAUGAAGCACAUGAAAACUCUUGUCUAUCUUGACAUAACGGGUUGUUAUUCACUUCGAUUUAUGCCUGCUGGAAUGGGGCAAUUGAUAUGCCUGCGAAAACUUACCCUGUUCAUUGUGGGUGGGGAGAAUGGUCGUCGCAUAAGUGAGCUGGAAAGGCUGAAUAAUCUUGCUGGUGAAUUGAGGAUCGUAGAUCUUGUGAAUGUUAAGAAUUUAAAAGAUGCCACAAGUGCCAAUUUGAAGUUGAAGAAAGCUCUUUUAUCACUGACUUUAUCUUGGUAUGAGAAUGGAUCUUACCUUUUUCACCCUGGAUCAUUAGUGCCACCGCAGCAAAGAAAGAGUGUUAUUCAGGAAAAUAACGAGGAGGUCCUUGAAGGGCUUCAGACUCAUUCAAAUCUGAAGAAGUUGAGGAUAUGCGGAUAUGGAGGUUCAAGAUUUCCUGAUUGGAUGAUGAACUUGAACAUGACGCUACCAAAUCUGGUAGAGAUGGAGCUAUCAGCAUGUGACCACUGUGAACAACUUCCACCAUUGGGGAAACUGCAGUUCCUCAAGAGUCUUGUAUUGCGUGGAAUGGAUGGUGUGAAGAGUAUUGACAGCAAUGUGUAUGGAGAUGGGCAAAGUCCAUUCCCAUCUUUGGAGACGCUGACUUUUAAGUACAUGGAGGGAUUAGAGCAAUGGUCUGCGUGUACUUUUCCUCGCCUUCAAGAAUUGAGGAUAUUCGAUUGCCCUAUGUUGAACGAAAUACCAAUUAUACCCUCUGUCAAAUCACUGCACAUCGAGAGAGUGAAUGCUUCGUUGCUGAUGUCAGUUAGGAAUCUCACUUCUAUCACCUCCCUUCAUAUAGAAGAGAUUCCAAAUGUGAGGGAGCUUCCCGAUGGGUUUUUGCAAAAUCAUACCCUCCUUAAAAGCUUGACUAUUUGGGAUUGUGAUGAACUUGAAAGCUUGCCAGAGGAAGGUCUUCGUAAUCUCAAUUCCUUGGAGGUUUUAAACAUAGGUGGUAGAAGAUUAAAUUGUUUGCCAAUGAAUGGGCUGUGUGGUUUAUCUUCUCUUCGUAGUUUAAAUAUUCAAUAUUGUGAUAAAUUCACAUCCCUAACUGAGGGAGUGCGGCAUCUGACUGCGCUUGAGGAUUUGUUACUUGAAGGAUGUCCAGAGCUGAAUUCAUUGCCAGAGAGUAUCCAACAGCUCACUUCUCUCCGAUCUCUAUACAUUUAUAAUUGUCCAAAUUUGAAGAAAAGGUGUGAGAAAGAUUUAGGAGAGGACUGGCCUAAGAUAGCUCGCAUUCCUGAUAUUAGAAUCAAUUAAAAUUGAUAUGCAAAAUUUGUAAUGAUAAUAAAAUAUAUAUUUUCGUAGUUUUAAUUUGUUGUAAUUGUUUAAAUAAUUUUCUCAAAUUGAUUGUUGUUUUAUUCUUCAUAUAAAUGUGUAAAAAUGAUUGGUUCAUUAUUUGUUUUAAUUGAAACUUGUUUUACUACUGUAAUAGGUUUUUUUUCCUUAACACACAAUACUUCUCAUAAAAAAAAGCAUAAAAUUAAGCCAAUUAAGUUUUUUUUUUGGUUACUUCAAAAGAAAACUUGUAUAAGAAAAUCAACUGUUGAGGUUUCUCAACUAAAAUAUCAAUCUUAUAAACAUCCUUUUAGCCUUUAUGAAGACGUAAUUUUACUUAAUUAAAUGAAACUUAUAAUAUUUUGCGUGUUUUGCCAUUAAAGAUUGCCGUGGAAAAAUAUUCGCUCGAUUGCCUUUUAUCCAUUUAAAACUUUUUAAACUUAAAAUUAAAUAUACAUUGCUCGUACCAUAAAAAUACACAUUGAUUUUGUCCUUUUUAAUAAUAUUUAUAUAUUAAUUCAAAUUUUUUUAAAAAAUAAUUAACUUAAUCAAGUUCUUAUUUAAUUUUUCAAGAUCUAGAAAAAUAAUCCUUAUAUUAAUUAUAUUGUAAUCAUUAAUUUUUAAUAUAUAUAUGGUUCGGGGGGGUUUUUUUUGUUUUUUUUUUUUAGGUCGACCUACUAGCUAUUUGGUAAUUUUAAAAAAUAAAUACUAUAAAAAAACUAUUGACAUGUGCAACUCAUGUGUUAGCACAUGUAAGGUCGUCCAGUGACCAAAAUCAAUCAUCUACGAUGAUGUUUGGAGUGGCCCAUUGUUCGCUUCAUAUUGGCGAGAUGUGUGUUAACAGUAAAGGUGUGAUUGGGCUCUAAUGAGCUUUUUUUUCUUUUCCUUUCUUUUUUUCUCUUAACUUAGAAAUUCAUGUCAGCCCUUUCAAAAAUUGAUUGUGUCCUCUAGUUUUUAUUUAUAUUAAUUUUAGUUCUCAUUCUUUUAAUUACUAUUUGUUUUGCUUGUAAUACUUUUUUGAAGUUUUUUUUUUAAAAAAAUUCAUACCUAAAAAUUUUGUUUCAUAUAGUUUUUGUAUUCAAUUUAGUCCUCAUUCUUUUGAUUUCUGUUUUCAUAUUAUUUUCUUGGGUUUUUAUUUUUAUUUUUAACCCUCAACAUUUUAUUUUAUUUUAUUUCUUUAUCAAAUAAUGGUUCUCAUUCUUUUUAUUGCUAUUUUUUAAUCUUUUUUCUUAAUUUAUUUUAUUUUUUAAUUUAAUCCCUAAUUAUUAUUAUUAUUAUUAUUUGGAUUUUAUACCAUAUUUGAUCCUUAUUAUUAUGAUUACUAUUUGUUUUGUUUUGAAAAAAAAUAUGAUUGGAAAUUUUACUUUAUUAGUUUUUUUUUGUUUACUUUUCUGCACGGUAAUCAUAUUCUCAUGAUUUGGAUAAUUAGUUUUGAAUAUUAGCCCAAUUUAUGUUAGGUCUUUUUUUUUUCUUUACUAAUUUUUUUUUCAAUUUCAUCAUUUGACAUUGGGUUAUUGGGGUUUGAGCUUUGUUAUAUGUUCAACUUUUAUUUUUUAGUUUAUAUCGAUCUUCUAUCUCGGGUGGAGGGUUAGUCGAGUUAACACAAGUUGACUAAAUGUUUUUUUGCCUCAAAUUAUUUUUAAGAAAUUAUAUAUUUUUUUUUAUUGACCCUUGAGCUUUGUGAUUCUUUCACAUUUUUUAUGUGGGGUCAUCCUAAGUGCAGGUUAGUCAAGUUAACUUGGGUUUUAUCUGACGUUUCUUUUAUUUAACUUUAGUAUUUUAUUCUAGGUCCUUUUAAAAAAUAUAUUUAAUUUUUUUUUAUCCUGAUCUCAUAUUAUGGAUGGUAGGUUGGUCAAGUUAACUUAACUUGACCUGAGUUUUUUUUUUUUAUGUUACUUUUUCUUAAAAUUAAUUUUUUAAAAAAUGUUAUCAUUUGCCAUUAGGUCAUUGGGCUUUGAGUUUUGUUAUGUUUUUUUUUGUCACUUUCUUUUCUUCAAGGUAAUCUUGAUUUCAUAUCAUGUGUUGCAUGUAUAGUCAAGUUAAACCGUGUUGAUUGAGGUUAUUAUCGCUUAGACAUCUUUUAUUGCAUGAGAAAAAAACUUAACCACACCCACAACGUUACGCCAAACACCUACCUAUUUACUAUUAAAAAGAGAUUUAUAGCAUAAGUAAAGCCGUGUGUUUUUUUGGUUGGACUGUACUUUUUACAAAAUUUAAAUUUUUUUCUUUUGCUUUCAAUUAAAUUUUUUAAGUUUUUGAAUUGUUUUAAUAUCUUUAUAUCAAAAAUAAAUUCUAGAAAAUAAAAUUAUUUUAAUGUAUUUAAAAAACUAUUCUCUGUUAAGAAAAAUUGUAUAAUUACCAUCACCAAACAUGUGAUGUUUUGUAAUAAAAAGGAAUGAGAAAAUACAAUAAAGCCCUUGGAGGCUUAAAGAAAGGGUAAAUGAUUGAAGGGUGUUGUGGUAAUUGACUAAUAGUUGAUAAAUAUAUAUAAGAAUAAGAAAAAAAAAAAAAAAAGGAUCUGAAUUUGGAGAGAGAACCGGCAGGAGAGAAGAGAGGAAGAAGAAGAAGAAGAGAAAAGAGGGGAAAAUAAGGGAAAAAGGAAAAAGAUUGAAGAAAAUAAGUAAAAAGGUAAGAUUUAUGGUUUUAAGUGUAUAAUAUGUUAAAUUUCGGUUUUGAUUAAUUUUGAGAGUUUUGAAGUUUGUAUUUUGAGUUAAUUGAUGAAUUAAUUUGAAGGUUAGGAGUUGAUUAUUGUGGGUAUUUGAUUAAUUAGUUGAUUUUGAGAGAUUGAAUUGAAAGAUAAUGAUUUUGAGUUAUGAUUUUGUUUAAAUGGUGAAAUUUGUUAGAAAUCAGGGGAUAACAGUAGGUGAUCUGUUGAAAUUCUGGGUUUGAGGUUGAAGAUGACGAAAAUUCAGUUUGGUCCCUCAAUUUGUGAAAUUGCAGUUUAGUCCCCGAACUUUGGAAAUUUUACAGAUUGGUCCCUGGGGCAUAAAUUGAGGUUCUGAACAGAACUGAGGAUGAUUUAAGGACAAAAUUCCAGUAUAAUUAAUAUUUUCAGUUUGGUCCUCCAAUUUGACAAAUUAAUUUGACCCUAAAUUUGUAAAUCACAUGGUCCUUGGGCAUAAUUCAAGAUUCUGGACAGAUAAGGACGAAUUAUGGAUAAAUUUCAGUAUGGUAUAUAUAUUUACAAUUCGGUCCUCAAAUUUGGUAAAAUUACGUUUUGGUCCCUGUUUUGGAAAAUUGUCGUUUUAGUCCCUAAACUUGGGAGAUUAAGCCCGGUUUAUUUUAUGCAUUGGGAUCUUUUGUUUGAUUUGUUUUUGAGUAUAUUUCAUAUAUUUAUUGUAGGUUCUCCUAACGAUCCUUAAUCGGAUUUUCGGGUCUUUGUCUGACAUUCCUUUAGUUCAGUAUUUUCCGGGUGAGUGGAAUAAUCUUUAAUAUGCAUAUAUAUAUAUAAAUAAAUAUGUAUGUUGAUUAUACAAUGAGUACAACUAGUAAAUUUCUUGAAUAUUUAUAUAUGUUGCUUUAUUUUCCGAGUACUCAUUUAUUCUUGAAUUUGCACUCGCAAUCUGUUAAAGUAAAUUCUAUUUGAUAUGAUAUACGUUUCUUUGAUGAUUAUGUGAAUAUCUGUUAUGCCUUGAUAUGGGACUUGUCAGUACUCCAUGCUAACGGAGAAUAGUUAGCCUGUGUGCACAUAGUAUUCUGUUACCUAGCUGGUGAGAGAGGCAUCAGCCUGUGGCGAUUGAUCAUCCCACAGUGGUCACCGACGGGUGUCAGUCACCGACGGGUGUCAUCUGGUCACCUUCGGGUGUCAUCUGGUCACCUUCGGGUGUCAUCUGAUCUCUGACAUGUAAUCCACUACGUUAUGAUAAUAUGUUACGUUAUGAUAAUAUGUUUAGUAAGUAUAUGUAUAUGUAUAUUAAGAUAAAUCAUCUUACAAAUUAUUAAUAUCUGAAAUAUCUGAAAUGUAUAUUAAAUGUUAUUCCCUCACUGAGUUGUUGAACUCACCCUCAUUUUUAAUAUUAUUUCAGGUUCUUAGUUUCUGGACUUUGUUGAGUGUUUCCGUUUCUUCAGUUCUGGUCGGUAUGCCUUGCUUGUUCGCGAGGCUUUCCGUUCAGUUUUGAUAUGAUGUCUUAGACGCUCCACUGUUACCUUGUUUUAAUUACGUUUGGAUUUUGACAAUGUAAAUGUAUUAUGAAUUAUUAUUUUUGUUUUAAUAACUAUCUUUUGGUUUCAUCAGUAUUUGAAUAAUAUAAUAUUUCUGUAUAUUAUGAGCCGCUGCGUAUUUUUGAACAAAUUGUUCUUUUGAUAUGUCCGUUCUGAGGCUUAGCGUAGGUGAGGUGUCCUUUCAACACCGCUCCUACGUUGCCGGUCACGGAUCCGGGAUUCGGGUCGUGACAAAACACUUAUGAAUGGUAGGUGUGCCUAUAUUUGUAGAAAUUCAUAUAAUCUAGUAGUAGAAACUCAUCGUUUAAACACUUGUCUGUUUAAUAAUCUUUUCAAGACUCAACUAUGUUACUAGAUUCAUUUGCUAAAUUGUGAAUUAUAUCAAGUUCAAGUUUCCCUCGUCAGAUUUUGAUCCUUAAUCUAUUUUAGAAGUUCAAUCAGGACCAUGUUAUUCAUAGAAUUACCGGUAAGGUACGUAGCCUAUAUUUGUGAGAAGUCUUCGUAAUACCCAUUUUAUUAUGGUUUAUGUUGUACGUGUGCAGUGUCGCGACGAUCAUACUCUCUCAAGUAUAUGUAUCUAUCUAGUAAAUGUGGGGAGACAAUAAAUUCUUGUUUUUUAUCUAUGAAAAGCGGGAAUGAGAGUCGUCACUUAAUAUUUUGAUCACUAGAAACACUAACUGGUUUCAGAGAUCGGGCACGAGAACUGGUUGCAUAAAUGGAAUGUAUUAGCACCCAAAUAUACCUUACCUAAGAUAAGAUGUAUUGUUUAAUUAUCUGAUAAAAACUAAGGACUUGUCGUGUUUUUUAAUUGUUGGUAUGUCUAUGAUUUAAGAAAAGUCCUUAUGGGUGAGAAGAUCCUUAUCUUAUUAGAUAAAAACUAACCCUUCUAACAUCAAUAAAAGAAUUUAAUUUCCAGAAUAUGUCCUACGUAUAAGGUUGUAACCCCAGAUACUAAAAGGAAAAAAAUAAGUUUUUUUAGAAUUUUUGAAAUAUUAGCCUAGUUUUCGUUACUUUAAUAAACUAGUUAUUAAAACCAAAAUGCAUGUUAAAACAUAUUUUUAUAAAUUUUUUUUGUAUGAAAAUACGAAAUGAUUAUUUUUGUAGAGACUUGGCUUUAUGCAAGAAAAUAAGAUUUUUUCUUUUAAUUUUUUUUUUAAUAUUUUUGAGAAAACUAGGUAUUUUAAUACCAGAUUUAUAUUGUUACAGUAUAAAAAUACAAAUCAAUAUUACAUAAAAUUGAUAGAAAAAUGCAUGGGAUAAUUAUGUAUUGAACCAAUUAGAAAAAUCAAGUUGACAGAUGUUGUCUUCAAAUCACCGGGGUGUUGCUUAUCAGAAACUUCAACGCUUUAAUACAGACUGGCAUGGCUACUCAAGUCUGCACCGUGUGGAGCCUAAUCAGUAUAGUUAAAAGACUGCGAUUCUAAUAUUUUGAUAAAACUGAACCACCACACUAAAAUCAGUAAUAAAAUCAGUAAAAUCUCAUCACCAAACACCUUCACCUUUUCCAUUUCUCAUCUCAUAUUGCUCUUUCUUCUCAAUAUUAACUUACCAUUUCUUGCUCACCUCCCCGCUUUUAGUUUCCGUGCACCUUUUCUACUUCUCAACAUCCAAUUCCUUUGCCUUCGAAACAAGCUAUGGCGGACGCAGUUGUUUCUGCUGUAGCGGGUGCAAUCUUGGAGAACUUGAGGUUGCUGUUCUCAAAGAGGUUGGGCUUGCUCGAGGCCUAGACACCGAGCUUGAGAAUCUCGAAAGCACCUUCGCAAUGGUUCAAGCUGUGCUCCAGGAUGCGGAGGAGAAGCAAUGGAAGAACAAGGCUUUAGCGAUUUGGCUAAGACGCAUCAAGGAUGCAGCUUAUGAGGUUGAUGAUGUACUGGAUGAGUUUUCAAUUGAAGCUCAAAGGCAUCGGCUGCAAAGAGAUCCCAGAAACCGACUGAGAUCCUUCUUUACUCUCGGUCAUGGCCCCCAUCUUUUUCGAUUGAAAAUGGAGCACAAGUUGAAAAAUGUGAGAGAAAAAUUGGAUGCCAUCGCCAAUAAGAAAAACAUGUUUGAUUUAACACCAAGAACUGUAGACAUAGCAGCUGAUGCCUAUGAUUGGCGGCUUACCAACUCACUCGUGAAUGAGUCAGAAAUUUGCGGAAGACGGAAGGAGAAAGAGGAAAUCAUCAUGGGAUUCUUCUUGGUAUAUUUUCCUCGCCACUUGGGAUUUUAGACUCUAAUGUAGCUGAACUAAAAACGGUUGUCAAAACUAUUGAAUUAUCAACUUCUAACUAUCAUCUACAUCAUAAACACAUUAUUGUUGAAUUUGACUCGACCAAUGUCAUUAGCUGGAUGAAUAACCCUCAUAAUAGACCUUGGCUGCAUCAUAAUCUUUUCUCCUCUAUUCAGAGAGUAGCUUCAUGUUUUGGUUCACUCACAUUCACUCAUUCUCUUCGUGAGAGUAAUCAUAUGGCAGAUCACAUGGCAAAAAAGGGGUUGUUUAGAAACUCUGAAUGGGUCGCUUGGCUCUAAUCUGCUUGAUAUUUAGGCCUUUCUUUUUCUUUAAAUUCUGGUUGCGGAUGCUAAGGAAACUUGAUUGUUUCCCAGAUUACUCUAUUUCUAGAAAGGAGAAGAAUCAUCAAACUAUAUAGAAGCAAUUCCAGCUGGUCAGAUCUUGGUUUCAGAUUCUGAUGUUGUAAGUCUAGGGGCUUCUGUUGAUGAGCUUCCUUUUGCCUGCUAUGGUUUUCCCUGUGUUAAUGCGUCGAGUGUCUUGGUUCUUUUAUUGUUAAGUUGUCAAAGGCUGUUCUGUGAAGAGUCCAUGGCUCGUCUUUUGUUUCGGAUAAGAAGAUGCAAGAUGGAAAGAUUUUGUUUUACUACUAAUCUGGAUAUUGGUAGAAGUCUGUUUGGUUUCUUAUCCUGGUGUGGCUCCAAAUCUGCUUCUUUCAGCUGCUUCUUUGAUUCCUUGGCUUCAAAUAUAUAUAUUGUAGCCGCUAUUUGUUCUUUUCAUUUCUUGGUAUGUUAUUCAUUUCAUUGCAUAGUUCUGUUUAGGUGUCCUGUAAACAGAAUCUCUAUGUUCCCGUCAUCUAUUGGCGUCUUCUUAUGCAAUAUUAUGCUUCUCAAAAAAAGAAAGAGGAACAACUCAAAAUCCUGCUCACUAAUGACGACGAUCUCCCUAUUUAUGCUAUAUAGGGAAUGGGGGGACUCGGGAAAACGACACUUGCUCAAUUGGUCUCCAACGAAGAAAAGUUUAAACAACAAUUCGGUUUGAGGAUCUGGGUGUGUGUGUCUACUGAUUUUGACUUGAGAAGAUUAACAAGAGCCAUCAUGAAGCCCAUUGACGGUGCCUCUUGUGAUCUUCAAGAAUUGGUUCCCCUGCUACAACGCCUUCAACAAAAGUUAACUGGAAAAAAGUUUUGCUUGUACUGGAUGAUGUGUGGAAAGAUUAUACUGAUAGGUGGAGUAAAUUGAAGGAGGUACUAAGGUGCGGAGCUAAAGGUAGUGCUGUAACAGUAACUACGCGUAAUGAGAUGGUUGCUCGUAGAAUGGCAGCAACUUUUGUCCAGCCCAUGAGGAGGUUGUCUGAAGAAGAUUCUUUGCAUUUGUUUCAACAGCUUGCAUUCGGGAUGAGAAGGAAAGAGGAGUGGGUGCGCCUGGAAGCCAUUGGAGUAUCAAUAGUGAAGAAGUGUGGAGGAGUUUCUUUAGCUAUAAAGGCACUCGGGAACCUAAUGCGGCUAAAAGAAAGUGAAGAUUUGGGAUCUAAGAGAAGAAGCAAGCGAGAUUUUACAUGGAGAAAGAACAAAAUAUUAGAUUCUUUCCAAAACCUUCAGGUAUAUAGAACCAAAACUACCAUCUCUGUUAUUUUCUUUUCAACAUCUUCAAUAAAAAACCGCAGGCAAUGGAUGAGGUUGCUAGGAAGCAACGUUUGGUUCUUAUUACAUAGUCUGGGAAAAGUCAUAGUGCACCAAGUGAAACCUAAAAAUCACACAUCCUCAUGAAAUGUUUCAAUGUGCCACAUCAGGUGAAUUCUUAAAUUUACACAAUCACCUUUAGUUAGUCUAACAGCUUUGUCUUUCUUCUCAUGUAACUUAGAAAAAUAUUUCCAAAAAACUGCCCUCAAUCUAUCGGACAAACAUCAAGUCAUCUUAUAUGCAGGGACUCUAUUCAAGAAGUUUGUAUAUGAAGCCAACACACAUCAGGUGAGUUCUUGCAUUUACACAAGUUAAUUCUUGAUUAAUUAGUUUAACAGCUUUUUCUUUCUUUCUCAUGUACCAUGGGGAAAUAUUUCUGAAACAUUACCCUCAAUUUAUAGUCAACAAACAUCAAGUCAUCUUAAUUUAUAAUUAACAAACUAUAUCCAAGAAGUAUGUAUAUAUAUAAGUCACAUAAAAUCAAUUUAAAAAAUAAAAUAUUUUUAAAACACAAAAACAAAUUGAGUUUUAAUCUUUUUACAUUAACUUCUAAUUCUCUUUUUCUGUUUUUCUUUGUUCAACAUCUGAGAAAUUAUAAAUUAUAUUAUGUUCAAGUUUUUCUGGUCAGAUUAUGUUCCUUAAACUAUGUUUAAAAGUUCAUUAAUGGUAUAAUGUUGCUAAUGAAAGUACAGUUGAAGUGGUACAUUUUCAUAAGAAGUCCUCGUAAAAGCACCCAUUUUAUUGAUAGUUUGAAACUAAAUCCAUUUCAUCAUCUUUUGCAAUUUCUUGCAAAAGGAAACUUGGUGUAUUUCGAUGAAAAUAUAUUUGAUCUUUCCCACAAUGAAAGUGGAUGACUUGCUUGUUUCUUAUAGAAUAUGCAUCUGUAUAUAAAUAAAAACAUAUUAAUCUAAAAACAUAAGUGGUUAUGUGAAGUUUUAAUAUGUGAUUUAUAUUAUAUUUUAGAAUAUAUUUUGUGUGAUUAAUUAAUUUUAAUUAGAAUAAAAAAUGAGAAUAUUACUCACAAUUGUUUUAACAUCAAAGCUUUAAUAAGAUAUUAAAUAACUAUAUAAAAAAAAUAUAAACCAUUAAAUAAUACUUUAAAAUAUUAUUUAUAUUAUUUUUAACGCUUUUCAGCCAAGAUCAAAACCUCGCAAUAGGAACUGGUUUUAGUAGGCCACACAUUACCCCUCUAACAAACUAGAUGUUUUUCCUAAUUUGCCACCCAAACUAAAAUUCCUAAAGUUCAACCCUGAUCAUUCACUGACUGGUUGCUCACCGUCGGAUUUCCAACCUGAAAUGCAGAACCACUGCAAUAAUGUUGAAUAUGUCCCUGAAAAGCUAAACUUAUUGUAUUUCCAUGGAAAUAUAUUUUGAUCUUUCCCACAAUGAAAGCAAGUAAUAUAUAUAUAUAUAAAAUUUAAAAUUGUUAUGUAAAAUUUUAAAAUGUGAUUUAUAUUAUUUUUUAAUAUAUAUUUUAUGUGAUUAAUUAAUUUUAAUAAAAAUAAAAAUAAAAAUAAUAAGAUUUGAAUUCGUGAUUGUUUAAGCAUCAAAGCUUUAAUAUAAUAUUGAAUAACUAUUUAAAUAAAAUAAUUUAGACCAUUAAAUAAUUUUUUAAAAUAUUAUUUAUAUUAUUUUUUAAUAUUUUUCAGCCACACGUAUCAAAAGCUCGCAAUGGGAACUGAUUUCAGUGUGCCACACAUUACCUAUCCAUGUUCUAAAGGUUCUAGCUGCAAGUUUCAUGCUUUGCCCUGUUUUAAUGAGGAUAUAUUCUGAAUUUCAUUUUAGAAAAGCUUUAUUUUAUUAUUUUUUAUUUAAGAAAAGGUUAUGAUGUAAAACGUGAUGGAACUUCUAUUGGAUAAAAAAUAAUGUGAAAAAACUUCAUCCCUGAUAGUAGACAUCUCUCAUUUGAGUCACACAUUCAUACAUAUCAAUUUUUAUUUAAUAAAACUUUGUUAUUUUGGACAAGAUUUCUGUUAAAAAAAGAGAGUAUAUUUUGGAUAGUAAACCCGAUUAAAGAAUGCUGGGCACUUUAGUAACCUAAUUGAAAAUGAUAUUUAGUUUCAGGAUUUUAAAAGUGUUUAAAAUUAUGAUAAAGGAUUCUUUUCAAAAUAUUUUUUUAUUUGAAAAUAUAUUAAAAUAAUAUUUUUUAUAUUAACAAAUCAAAAUAAUAAAAAAAAUACUAAAAAUAUUCAAUUGAAGCUUUUAAAAUAAAUUUUAAAAUUUUAAAAAGUGUUGUUCAUCAAUUGAUAGGUGGCGAACUAAUUAAAGUUAAGGAAAUUCAAGUUCCGAAUCCUCAACUAACUCCAUUUUCUACCUUUUAAAAUUGCUCGGCCCAGCCCAGCCCAACUAUCACCAACACCAUGUAACUAACUUAAUUUCGCGCCAAUCCUCAACAUCAACGGCCCCCCUGGUCUCAGUUCCCGCCGUCCAGUUCUCCACACCAAAUCUGUCCAAGGUCACUCGUUGUUCCCCUCAAUCUCUCAUGCACAUUCAUAUGCAUCGAUGGAAUUAGGGUUUAGGUCGCUGUAAUAGUUUAGUUUUCAGGCUGAAAUGUAACAAAGACCGAUUUGAUUUCACUUUCAUGUAUUAGAAACUCAUUUGACUUGUUCAAGAAAUCGGAUUUGAGGUGGGUUUUAUACAAUUUUCCGAGAUUAACUUCUUCUUUUUUGUGUGUUUCUGGUUUGUUAAUUGUGGUUGUUGAUGGAAGUAAUUGGUAAUGUAGUUUAUGUAGUUGUAGAAAGUCUCCAGUCAACACGUUCAUUGAUUGUUUCAAACUUGAGCAAAUCAUAUCCAUUGCUGACUGUUUGAUGGUUAAUCACUAGUCUUGUUUAACAAUUUUUUCAAGGAUCUUUAAAUAAUCUCUCACUCUCUGCCUGUCUCUCAACUUUUGGAUGUUGCAUUAUUACUUUGGGUUUUUCUUUUGAUGGUACAACAAUUAACAAAGAGAUAUUUGAAACCACAAUCCAACAAUGAACAAAGAAAUAUUUCAAAAUCGCAACACAGUUUUGAUCAGAUUUUUUUUUUUAAUUAACGUGGGUAUCCGAGCUACUUUGCAGGCACCUCGACUAACUUCACGGGCCCUGAAGUUAACGACCAUGUAAGUUUCCAGUAGCCAUCAUAUAAGCAAUCACAGUACUCGAACUAGAAACCACAGUGAAAAUAAAUUUUUUAGUUACAAGCUCUUAUUACUAGACCACUUUGUUUUGAUUAGAUCUUUUGCGAUCUUUGGAUAUGAAAUCUUAUCUUUUCUUCAAUCUUUAGGGAGUAUACAAAAGCAACCCCACAAUCUUAUAUUUUCUUCCAUCUUUUAUAUCUUUUCUUCAAUCUUUAGGGAGUAUACAAAAGCAACCCACAAUCUUAUAUUUUCUUCCAUCUUUUAUGUCCAUUCAUCUAAUUUGAGCCAAUCUUCUCUGGCGUGUGAUUCCCGAUUUGUCAAGUCUACAACGUGUGAAGCCCACGCGGAUUGGCCAGUGCGGGACAAAGACAUAUACCGGGCAAAUUCAAGUUGAUGAAUGUUUGUCUUCAAAUCACAGCCAUGUUCCUUCUCUGAAACUUCAAUUGCUUUAAUAGAGGCAUAGUUAGUCAAGUCUGCACUGUGUAGAGCCCAAUCAAUAUAUAGUUAUAGAACUGCAGUUUUCAUAUUUUAAUAUAAUUAAAACCACCACAUUAAUUACAAUUAAAUUGCCAAAAAAAAAAAAAAGCUAGCAGUAAAACACUUUGAUGCAAGAAACAUUCUACUAUUCAAUAUAACAGUAUAAUUACACUUUUAUUAUUCUAAAAAAAACUAGCAAAGUUUCUUCUAAUCGGGGUAAAAUCAACUUUUCUACUGAUCAAUUAUGCAUUACAACAUUGAAUGGUAACAAAUUAGUCCAUACACUUUUCUUUUCAUGGUGAAAUGAGUUUAUUGUUGAGUUUCUUCAAAAAUAUAAACGCAAUAAAAAUAGUAAAACAAAAUUAUUUUGAAGUCCUUAAGAUCCCGUUAGAUAAAUCUAGAAUUGUUUUAAAAUUUAUUGCCUAAACAUUUAAUUGUCUAGUAUCCAACGAUAAUUUACAUGAACCACUAGUGAUAAAUCUUCUAAAUCUCUAAUUAGAAGAGAGAGAAAUUGUUAUGCUUAGAGUAUUAGCUCUAAUUUUAUGUUUACAUAGUUUUUUAAUCUAAUUGACAAUCUCAUAAAAAAUAAAAAGGCAUAACUUCCUAUUUAUAGAGAAAUAUAAAAAAAUCCAUAUAAAUUAGUAAAAUAUCAAUUUGUCCCCUGAAUAAUAUCCAUAUAGUAAUUAAAAAAAUUAGAAAUUAACUCAAUCAAGCACUUAUUUGAUUUUUCUAGAUCUAGAAAUAUAAUCCUUGUAUUAAUUAUAUUCUAGUUGUUAACUUCUAAAAUAUAUUUUAAUCAAGUCAUACAAAAUGUGUAGGUGAGGUGCGUGCUCACAAUAAAUGUGUGGUGGGCUUCGAUGAGCUUUUUUUUUUUUUUUUUCCUCUCUCUUUUCUUUAUCUUAGCUUAGAAAUUCAUGCCAGUCCUUCCAAAAAUUGAUUGUGUCCUCUAGUUUCUAUUUCUAUCUAUUUUAGUUCUCAUUUAUUUUGAUUGCUCUUUUUUUUUUUUGGUGUUUUACCCUUUUCUUGAUUUGUUUUUUUUUUUUCCUUCAUCAUUUUAUUUCCGUUAAUUGUUUUUAUUCAAGUUUGAUCCUCAUUCUUUUGAUUUCUUUCUUUUUAUUACUUUCUUGAUUUAUUUUUUUUUAUUAUUUUUAACACUCAACAUUUUGUUUCAUUUAAUUUCUUUAUUAAAUAAUAGUUCUCAUUAUUUUUAUUGCUAUUUUUUUAAUUUGUUUCCUUAAUUUAUUUUAUUUUUCAAUUUAAUUCCUAAUUAAUUUUUCAUUUGGUUUUUAUAUCAUAUUUGAUCCUUAUUAUUUAGAUUACUAUUUAAAAAAAAAAACCUUAUGAUUGGAAAUAUUACCUCGUUAGUUUUUUUUUUGUGUGUUUACCUUUCCGCACAUAAUCAUAUUCUCAUGAUUUGGAUUUUGAAUAUUAGCCCAAUUUAAGUUAGGUUUUUUUUUUUUGUCAUUUACUAAUUUUGUUUUUCAAUUUUAUCAUUUGAGACUGGGUUAUUGGAGUUUGAGCUUUGUUAUUUAUUCAACUUUUAUUAUUUUGAGUUUAUCUCGACUUUAUAUCUUAGAUGAAAGAUUAAUCGAGUUAACCCGAGUUUAUUAAUAUUUUUUUAUUAAAUUGCUUUUAAAAAAUUAAUUUUUUUAUUAUUAUUGAUUUGAGCUUUGUGAGUCUAUCUCGAUCAUGCUAUUGGUUGCAAAAUUUCUUUGUGGAGAGCCACCUAAAGGACGUUCUUGACUUUGAUCCCACAAUCUUAUAUUUUCUUCCAUCUUUUAUGUCCAUUCAUCUAAUUUGAGCCAAUCUUCUCUGGCGUGUGAUUCCCGAUUUGUCAAGUCUACAACGUGUGAAGCCCACGCGGAUUGGCCAGUGCGGGACAAAGACAUAUACCGGGCAAAUUCAAGUUGAUGAAUGUUUGUCUUCAAAUCACAGCCAUGUUCCUUCUCUGAAACUUCAAUUGCUUUAAUAGAGGCAUAGCUAGUCAAGUCUGCACUGUGUAGAGCCCAAUCAAUAUAUAGUUAUAGGACUGCAGUCUUCAUAUUUUAAUAUAAUUAAAACCACCACAUUAAUUACAAUUAAAUUACCAAAAGAAAAAAAAAUAAAAGCUAGCAGUAAAACACUUUGAUGCAAGAAACAUUUUACUAUUCUUUAUAACAGUAUAAUUACACUUUUAUUAUUCUAAAAAAAACUAACAAAGUUUCUUCUAAUAGGGGUAAAAUCAACUUUUCAACCGAUCAAUUAUGCAUUACAAAAUUGAUUGCUAAGAAAUGAGUCCAUACACUUUUUUUUUAUGGUGAAAUGAAUUUUGUUGAGUUUUUUUGAAUAAUAUACACGCAAUAGAAACAGUAAAAUAAAAUCAUUCGGGAGUUCCUGUAAUCCCAUUAAACAAAUCUAGAGUUAUUUAGGGAUUUAUUACCUAAAUAUAUGAUCUUCUUUGGCUUUGAAUAAUUCUUUAAAGAUUGAGUUAUUACAAAUCACAAACCAUCUAAUUGUCCUACAUCCAUUAGUAAUCCACACGAACCACCAAUAUAAAAUCUCUUAAAUUCAUAAUUAAGAGAGGGGGAUUGUUAUGUCUAGAAAGUUGACUCUAAUUUUGUGUUUAUGUUGUUUUUCUGUUUAAUUGACAAUCUUAUAAAAAAUAAGAGGCAUAACUAACUAUUUAUAAGAAAAUCUGAAAAAACCUUAUAAAUUAAAAAAAAUAUCAAUUUACCCCUUUAAUAAUAUCCAUAUAUUAAUUCAAGAUAAUUUUAGAAAUUAACUCAUCAAGUACUUCCUUGAUUUUUCUUAGUCUAGAAAUAUAAUCCUUGUAUUAAUUAUAUUCUAGUCAUUAGUUUCUAAAAUAUAUUUUAAUCAAGUCAUACUUAAUUAAAUAAUCCUAGUUUAAUUUCUACCUGAAGGUUUUUAAUGUGCGUCACCUAUUAAGUUUUUAAUAUGUUGGUCCAAAUAUAAAUUAUAAUUAUAAUUAAAUAAAUUAAAUAAUUUAAUUUAUUAUUAAUUCAACAAUUGAUUAAUUUAUAUUUGAAGACAAGGUGCAACAUCUAUUAUUGUGUCAUGAUUUUCUAAAUAUUAGAAAAGUCAUCAGUGGUUUGACUUAACCUUCUAGUGACAUGUUUCUCAGUAUAAUUGGUAUCCUUUCAUCAAUAAUGUUUUGAUUUAACAUUAAAGUAUGGAGUAUGUCUGCUAUGUUAAAUCAUGUUUAUUAUCUACAUAAUAGUCAUUUAUCAUUUAAAUAAGAUUUAGAACUUUUUUCAAAUCUCAUUCCACCUUAAUGAAGAAUUUCUCUAUAUUUACUAUUUGAGAACAGAUAAAACAUUUUUUUAAAUUCACUUAGGCUGAUGAAUCCUUUCUUUAUCACCCAAUUAUUAUUUAUUUUUUUUAAGAAUAGUGAAGUGACAAAAUUGCCUUUAAUAUAUAUAUAUAUAUAUAUAUAUAUAUAUAUAUAUAUAUAUAUUGCUCUAAGGGGGUUUUUGUAUUUUUAUUUUUUUUUAUUUUUAGGUUGACCAGGAGGCUGUUUAGUAAUUUUAAAAAAUAAAUAUUAUAAAAAAAUUAUUGACAUAUGCAACUCACGUGUCAGCACAUACAAUGCCAUUAGGUGACCAAAAUCAGCCAUCUGCAAUGAUGUUUUGAGUAGCGCAUUAUCCUCUUUGCAUUGGUGAGGUGCAUGUUAACAUUAGAGAUACAGUUAGGCUCCAAUAAGCUUUUUUUUUUUUUUUUCCUCUCUCUUUUCUUUCUCUUAGCUUAGAAAUUCAUGUCAGUCCUUCCAAAUAUUAAUCGUGUCCUCUAGUUUCUAUUUCUAUCAAUUUUAAUUUUAAUUUUUUUAUUAUUUGUUUUGAUUUUAAUACCUUUUGAAGUUUUUUUAAAAACAAAAUUCAUACCUAGACAUUUUGUUUCAUUUAGUUUUUGUAUCCAAUUUUAUCCUCAUUCUUUUGAUAGCCUUUUUUAUUUUUUUGUGUUUUACCCUUUUCUUGUUUUUUAUUUUUUAUUUUUUCCCUCAUCAUUUUAUUUCCUUUAAUUUUUUUUUAUUCAAGUUUGAUCCUCAUUCUUAUUAUUUUGAUUUAUUUAUUUUUAUUAUUAUUUUUAACCCUCCACAUUUUAUUUCUUUUUAUUUCUUCAUCCAAAAAUGGUUCUCAUUAUUUUUAUUACUAUUUUUUAAUCUUUCUUCUUAAUCUAUUUUAAUUUUUAAUUUAAUCCCUAAUUAUUUUUUUAUUUGGUUUUUUUACCAUAUUUGAUUAUUAUUAUUUUGAUCAGUUUUUUUUUUGUUUACCUUUUUGCACGGUAAUCAUAUUCUUAUGAUCUAGAUCAUUAGUUUCAAAUAUUAGCCUAUAUUUGAUCCUUAUUUUUUUUAAUUUAUGUUUUUUUAUCAUUUUAAUUUUAUCAUUUGACAUUAGAUUAUAGGGCUUUGAGCUUUGUUAUGUUUUUUUUUCACUUUCUUUUUCUCAAGGUUAUCUCGAUCUCAUAUCUUAUGUCACGUGUCGCACCCUAAAAAAAAUCCAAUUGCGGGUUCGACUGGCGACUUUUCAUUUUGGUUUUUGCUGAUUUGGUUCUUUAGAGCCGUCACCUAGUAUUUUGGUCAUUAGGAACCCUAACUGGUCUUUUAAAGAUUCUAAGGUAAGGGACUGAUUGCGUAAAGGGAAGGUAUUAGCACUCCUAGUACGCCCUACCUAAGGUAAGCUGCUUGAUGUUUGGUUUGCUCUUAUAAUCUAUGGUGUUGGUGUUUUUUAGUCUCGUCAAUUGAUUUUGGAUAGAAAUAUAAGGAGAUUCCAUGUGCUUUGAAAGCUCAUUUUUCCCUUAGUAUUUCAAAAGUUUGCGACUCGUAAAUCGUGGAGUAAAAAAAAUUAAAUUUUGAAAUGUCCCCGAUUAUAAUCAAGGCUUCUUUCAAGAAUGUGUGCAGAUUUAUUACUCCUAAUAAUAUUUUGGAUAUUUAUCCUUUUAAGGAUUUCUUUAUCCAAACAUUAGCUGUAAAUAAUAAAUGAAUUUCCUCCCUAAAAAUAAGAUUUUUAUAGUUUUUGGAAUAUUGGCCAAUACCCUUUGGAGUUUUACAAACAUGUUGUAAAAUCCAGAAAUGCAAGAAAAUAAUUUGUGUUUAAGAAAUCAAUGCGAAAACACAUUUUCAAAGCUUCCAAUAUAUUUUUUUUUGUAAAAAGAACAUUCAAAACAUGUUAGAGUAUUGGCCGUAUGAAACACGCAAGAAAACUUUUUUUUUUUUUUUUGACAAAAACGGGGUAUUUUAAACACUGAAUUUGUAUCUCCACGGUAUAAAAAUACAAACCAAUGUAAAAAAAAUCAUAAAAAAAAUAUGCAAGAAAAAUCAACAAUAUUUUUAAGGAAAUUUUUUAGAAUUUUUGAAAGCAAACAGACAUUUUUUUUUCUUUGAAAAUCUGGAUGUCUUGACGAAAACCGGGUAUUUUAAACACUGAAUUUGUAUCUCCACAGUAUAAAAAUACAAACCAAUGUAUAUAAAAAAUAUAUAUAUGAAAAGAAAACAACAAUAUUUUUUAGACUUUUCGGAUUUUUUUUAUUUUUAUUUUUUUUAAAAAAAAUAAUAUAUAUAUAUAUAUAUAUACACACACACACACAUGCAUAGUAUAAUAUAAUAUAAUUAAAUAAAUAUAUUAAUAUAUUAAGUGGGCUGGGCCGGCCCAACUAACUUGGCCGGAUCCAGCCCCAAAAGUCGUUGGGCCGAACUCGGCCCAAAAAGGAUUGGCCCGAUCUCGGCCCAACGAACUAAUUAACCUCGGUCUGGGCCGGACCCAACCCAAACCGCCAGAUUGGGCCAGAAUCCCUCUGGCCCGUCCCGCAUAGUUUUGGGCCAGACACCAUCUGGCCCAGAGAAGGGAAAAGAGAGAGCACGGGGGGGGGGAAUUAUUUCCCCCCCCGCCUCUUGCAUGCAGAACGACUCUACAUGCAGGAGGCAAAACUGAUGCAGGUUUCGAAAAAAAAUACAGGGGGGAAAGGAAGCGUACCUGGGGCGGCGGAGACGGUGGCUGGCUGGCGGUGCUGCGGUGGAGGCGGUGGCAGCGUCCUAGCUCACGGACGGCGACUCCUCACGGUGAUUUCGAAACAAUCCGGCGACACCCUCUCGCUUCGUUUUCUUCGUUUUUGUUUUCUAAAUUCCCUCCCAACGUUAAACUUUCACUCUUCUCUUGGUUUUUUUGGGGUUUUCGGUGGCUCUCUCUCCUCGGUUGGGUGUUUCUCUCUCUUCCUCUCUCUCUUCAUUUUUUAGUUCUCUUCGGGUUCCUCUCCUUUUUCUUUUUCUUUUUUCGUCCCUGUUUCUCUUAUUAUGUUCUCUAUUUAUAGAGCCAGGGGGCGUGGCUUCACCGUGGAGCCAAGGAGCGGCUGUCCAGGCGGACCUCCCUCGGUUUCGGCAGCGCGGCGGGUGGUCGACCAGUGUCUUCUGUCGGUGGUCCACCGGCGUGGGGCCUUGGUUGGUCGAGGGACCUACAAAAAAAUGUAAACAAUGCAAACUUUUCCUUCUUCCCCGCUGUAUGUUCAGGGGAAGAAGAAAGGUGAACAGUGCCGUUCAAAACGGCAAAGUUCGGUCUUCUCUUUUUUUUUUUUUUUAUGUAUGAAACGGCGUCGUUUUGGAGAAAACGCGCCGUUUCAUUUAAAAAAAAGGCGCCAGAACGUUUGUUUUUGAAUCAGUCCUUAAUCAUCUUUGUUCAAUUCAAUUUCGUCCCUGCCAAUUUCGGUCCGUCCCCAUAGUUGGCCGCGUUUUCCACUUUGGUCCUUGGCCUCUGAUUUAUGCAAUUUAGCCCUCAAUUGAUCAAUAAACUUCUAAUUUCUUCAAUUAAGCCCCCUGAAUCAAUUCCAAACAGCCCCCUCUAUCUUUGCGCCUUUUCCAAAUUGGUCCCUGGUUUCGGAUUUUCACAAUCAAGUCCCUAAUUGGCCAUUAAACUUCAAUAUUUAUGCAAUUAAGCCCCUGAUUUGACCCAAUAAAUUCCUAAAAAUUAUAAUAUGGCCCCAGAACUUUAAUUUCUUCUAAUUAAAACUCAAAUUGACUUAAAAAUCAAUUUUUCUUGCAAUCAAAUCCCCUAUAAAUUCAAAUAAAAAUCCAAUUAAGUCCAUAAACAUCCAAAUUUGGGCUUUUCUCCUCAAAAUUCAAAUUUUCCUUCUCAAUAGGGCUCUCAUCCUUCAAGAAUAUAUUGUCAAAAAAUCCGCCUUUGCCUUUUUAAAUUCCUUGACCAAUUUUGUGACCAUUUCUGAGCGCUUCUGCCUCCUAUUAUUUUUUCUAACCUCUUUUGGCUAUUUAUUUUAUUUUUUAUGGGGACUCAAAAAUGGGUUACAAUAGAUGCCCCCUCUUUAUAAUACUUACGGAGCAGGGGUUUUGCGCAGUAAGUGUUAUAAAGAUAAACUCAAAACAGAACUCCCGAAACUGAUCUGGUCGAAGCUUGAUUGAUCUGAAACUUUGUUUUUUACAACAAUCCUCCUUAGCCCAAAAACUAUGAUCAAAACUUAGCCAUCUCGAGAUCCUUAUCCGGCGAUCCUCUGAAUAUCGAAAUACGAGAUCCCUUCUGGCGAUCUCCUUUUAACUUGGAAUCCCAUCUGGCGAUUCCUUUACCCAUAACCAAUACAAAAAUGCGUGUGUGGUCUCAUUAUGAUGGGUGACCAGCUCGAGUGGGAAAUGGAAAGAGUGGUCUCAUUCUAUUGGGUGACCUACCCAGGGGAAAGAGUGGCCUCAUUAUUAUGGGUGACCUACCCAGGUAAAAAAAAAAUGGAGAAUGGUCUCAUUCUUAUGGGUGACCUACCCAGGAGAAAAAAAAAAUAAUGGUCUCAUUGUGAUGGGUGACCUACCCAAGGAAAAAAAAAGGAAGAGUGGUCUCAUAUUUUGGGUGACUUACCCAGGGGAAGAAUGGCCUCAUUCUUAUGGGUGACCUACCCAGGUAAAAAAAAAAUGGAGAAUGGUCUCAUUCUUAUGGGUGACCUACCCAGAAAAAAUUAUGGUCUCAUUCUUAUGGGUGACCUACCCAGAAAAAUAAUGGUCUUAUUGUGAUGGGUGACCUACCCAAGGAAAAAUAAUGGUCUUAUUGUGAUGGGUGACCUACCCAGGAAAAGGAAGAGUGGUCUCAUUCUUAUGGGUGACCUACCCAAAAAAAAUAGAAGUGUUGGUCUCAUUGUAAUGGGUGACCUACCCAGAAAAAUGUUGAGGCUCAAAGGCACACUCGAAAGAGGUAGGGUUUAGAAAACGCACUACCCGAGAAGUGAGGGCUCAAACGCGCACUCGAAAAGAGGUAGGGUUAGAAAACGCACUACCAAAAGUGAGGGCUCAAAGCGCACUCGAAAAGAGGUAGGGUUAGAAAACGCACUACCCAAAAAGUGAGGGCUCAAAGCGCACUCGAAAAGAGGUAGGGUUAGAAAACGCACUACCUGAGAAAUGGUGAUGAAAUCCCGAUCUGACAAAUGUUGAAAGCAAUAUUAUGGUUAAUAUGCAUGUAUGUUUUUGUUACCUAUCUUGGAAACAUAGGUCCCCCUUUCGUCGUAAACCUCUUCGCUCUUGUUUCAAGCUUUUCUCAUGAACCGAAAUAUCCUUCAUAUCCUUUUAGUGAAGAGAUCUUGGUUCCUUAUGGGGCCCUUUCUUGCUCCAUUGAGUUUUGCCAAAGGAAAAAUUGGUUUUGUUCAUGAAAACUGAAACUUUUAAUGCAAUUAGCAAUUUUAUAAAAGAUGCUUUUUUAGAAGUUUUUAUUAUGAUAUCCCUUUUGGGCUUGGGUUUACUAUGGACCCUUAUGUGCACUUCGUGCACCUUUUGCCCCCUAGUGUGAUGUGCAACUAUAUGUCAAGUAGAUUUGAUUUGGUUCACCAAUUGAUGGAGUCAUCUUCUUAGUCAUGCCAAAAAAAGUUCUUUUGAACAAAAGAUUUCAAAUGCUAUGAGAUCAUAUGUUAUAUAUAUAUAUAUAAAAGGACUCUUUACAAAGAGAAUUCAUGGCCGAAAUUUAUUUUUAUUGACUGGGAAAUUACGAAAUACAUCAAGCGUAGUAUUUCUUUACAGAGUCGGAAUUCACAGGCCUAGCUAGAUCUUCUCCAUCCAUUCUAGACAGUAACAAAGCUCCUCCUGAGAAUGCUUUCCUCACCACGUACGGCCCCUCGUAGUUAGGUGCCCAUUUACUCUGAUCUUCUCCAGGUAAAGGUAAUAUUUUCUUUAGCACAAGAUCUCCUUCGUGGAAUCCUCGAGGUCGAACCUUCUUGUCAUAUGAUUUAGCCAUCCUUCUUUGGUAGAGUUGAUGAUGACAGAUCGCGGCUAUCCUCUUUUCACUGAUCAGAUUCAACUGUUCAUAUCUAACCUUUGCCCAUUCUAACUCUUCCAGCUCAGAGUCUAACAACACUCUCAAUGAUGGGAUUUCCACUUCUAAAGGCAUCACCGCCUCCAUUCCAUAUACCAACAUGUACGGGGUGGCUCCUGUUGAGGUUCGAACUGCGGUGCGAUAUGCAUGAAGGGCAAAUGGCAACAUCUCAUGCCAAUCCUUAUAGGUGACUACCAUCUUCUGAAUAAUCUUUUUGACAUUUUUAUUAGCAGCUUCUACCGCGCCAUUCAUCUUUGGUCUAUAUGGUGAAGAAUUGGAAUGCUUGAUUUUCCAUUUAGUGCAGAGCUCUAUUAUCAUCUUGCCGUUGAAAUUUUGAGCAUUAUCCGUUAUAAUCUUUUCUGGUGGACCAUACCGACAUAUCAAAUCUCUCUCAAUAAAUUUCUUCACUACUUUUUGCGUCACAUGAGCAAAUGACCCGGCUUCUGCCCAUUUUGUGAAGUAGUCGAUAGCCACGAGAAUAAACCUAUGACCAUUGCUGGCUUUUGGGUUUACCGGUCCAAUCACAUCAAUUCCCCAGAUCGCGAAGGACCAUGGAGAUGUUAAAUUAAACAGAGGAGCCGGAGGAGCAUUGAUUUUGUCACUGUAUACUUGGCACUUAUGACAUUUCCGGACAUAAUCGAUACAAUCCUUCUCUAAUGUCAUCCAAAGUACCCGGCUCUUUGUAUCUUCCUGGCCAUCACAUGUCCACUAGCAUGAGUUGAGCAAAUCCCUUCAUGGACUUCCCGUACUGUGCUUUUUGCCUCAAAUUCAUCCAAACAUCUCAACAAAGUCCCGUCAGAUGAUUUCUUAUACAAAAUCUCCCCAUCAAGAUAAAAAUCCAUUGCCAACCUUCUCAAGGUCUUCUUGUCGAUUUUGGAUGCCCCCAUGGGAUAUGCCUGGUUUUGGAUGAAAUUCUUGAUAUCAUAGUACCACGGGUUUCCAUCCACUUCUCUUUCGACUGAGCAACAAUGAGCGGGGUUAUUUCUGAUAUUGAUGUGUACUGGCUGUACCUUGUGCCCAAAGUCUAUCUUGGCCAUAGAUGCUAGUGUGGCCAAAGCAUCUGCAAACUGGUUCCCUUCCCUUCCCAGAUGGGUGAACUCUAUUUCCUCAAAUUCUUUAGCCAGCUUAGACAGGUAUUCUUGGUAAGGCCUUAACUUCUCUUCUUUGGUUUGCCAUUCUCCUUUUACUUGGCAAAUGAUCAGCAUUGAGUCUCCAUACACAUCUAUCUUUUUGAUGUUCAUCUCUAAUGCAGCCUCUAAACCAAGAAUGCAAGCUUCAUACUCAGCCGUGUUGUUGGUGCACCCGAACUGCAGCUUAACUGAAACCGGAUACUGCUUCUUAUCAGGAGAGAUUAUCACUGCCCCCGCUCCGUUACCACAUACAUUUACAGCACCAUCAAAGUACAUAACCCACCAAUCUGAUUUCUCUUCCUCGAUUGCAAACACAUCUUCAUCGGGAAAGUCAAAGUUUAACGGCUCAUAAUCUUCCAUAGCAUGGUCAGCCAGGUGAUCGGCAAUAACACUCCCUUUCACGGCUUUCCUUGUCAUAUACACUAUGUCAUAUUCAGCCAAAAGAACUUGCCAUCUUGCAAUUCGGCUAGAUAGAUAAGGUUUUCACAAAUGUACCUUAAUGGGUCUAACUUGGAAAUUAACCAUGUAGUGUGAUACAACAUAUACUGACGUAAUCUCUUUGUAGCCCAUGCUAGUGCGCAGCACAGCUUCUCAAUCACAGUAUACCUAGACUCAUAUUCCGUGAACUUCUUGCUUAGGUAAUAAAUGGCCCUUUCCUUCCUUCCGGUUUCAUCAUGUUGCCCAAGCACACAUCCCAUUGCUGUUUCGGUUACUGUUAGGUAUAAAAUCAAUGGCCUUUCUGGUACGGGAGGAACAAGCAGAGGUGGAUUUAGCAAGUACUGCUUGAUUUUCUCAAAAGCUUUAUCACACUCUUCAUUCCAUAUUCCAGGGUUCUUCUUCCUCAACAAACGAAAGAUCGGGUCACAAGUCGCGGUUAAAUGGGAUAUAAACCGAGCGAUGUAAUUCAACCUUCCUAAGAAACCUCUCACCUCCUUCUCAGUCUUGGGGGGUGGCAUAGAUUGAAUAGCUUUUACUUUUUCAGGAUCCACUUCUAUCCCUUUGUCACUCACCACAAAUCCCAACAGCUUACCGGAUUUCACCCCGAAUGAACACUUUGCUGGGUUAAGCCUCAACUUAUAUUUCCUUAAUCUUUCAAAUAAUUUCUUCAAUACUUGGACAUGAUUCUCUCCCUCUUUAGAUUUAGCAACCAUGUCAUCCACGUAUACUUCAAUCUCUUUGUGCAUCAUGUCGUGAAACAAAGUCACCAUAGCCCUUUGGUAAGUGGCCCCAGCAUUCUUUAAACCAAAUGGCAUGACUUUGUAGCAAAAGGUUCCCCAUGGUGUUACAAAGGUUGUCUUCUCCCUAUCCUCUGGCGCCAUUCUUAUCUGAUUGUAGCCUGAAAACCCAUCCAUGAAGGAAUAUGUGGAGCUGCGUGCUGCAUUAUCAACUAACAUAUCUAUGUGUGGUAAAGGGAAAUUAUCUUUAGGGCUAGCCCGGUUUAAUCCCUAAAGUCCACGCAAACUCUGAUUUUACCUUCCUUUUUGGGUACCACCACUAUGUUUGACACCCAUUGUGGAUACUUCACUACUUCCAAAAAACCAGCGUCCCAUUGUUUUUCAAUUUCCGCCUUUACUUUGAUUAAGACCUCCGGAUGAGUUCUCCUUAACUUCUGCUUAAUCGGCUUGCAUCCUUCCAUCAGUGGUAUUCUAUGCACUACAAUGUCCGUAUCCAGACCAGGCAUAUCCUCGUAGGACCAGGCAAAGACAUCCACAUAAUCCUUGAGCAGUGCAAUCAACUCUUCCUUUGCUUCAGGGGUGAUCAAAGUCCCUAUCUUCAGCUCUCGCUUGAUUUCUUCAUUGCCUACAUUUAUGGUUUCAAGUUCCUCUUUAGCGGGCCUCCAAGCCUGUUCGUGUUGUUCUAUUAAUUUUGUGAAUUCCCAUAUGUUUUCCUCCUCCCAUUCCUCAUCUUCUACAGCCACUAUGUAUUCUUUAAAUUUUGGCCAUUCAUUCUCAAUGUAAAGUGCAGGUGUUGUUGUGGAGGAUCCGCUUUCAGAGUUCCUGAAAGCGGAAAGUGAUGUGUAAAUGCAUAGUAAGACAUCAAGAUGAAUUUUGAAAAUGCAUGAUCUCAUUAAAAAUAAAAGAUUGGCUCACAACAAAUAAAAUCCAAUUGACAUCUUGAGCCUCGAUUGUCAAUGAAUAAAAACAAAACAGAAAAAAGGCAAACAACAUAGAUAAAAAUAUAAUCCAACCAUCAUUGUUGAUUACAUUUUAAAAACCAAUGGAGCUUCUUGGGUCUCCCAAUUCUGGAACUUCUCCCCUUCGGCUAGCUUCCGGACAAAAGUCUUGACGGUGACUUCUUCCAAAGUGUGGAUGGUCAAUUGUGGCAGCUCUUCAAUCCUCCUUUCGGACUCGAUUUUCUCAGCAAUGUCCUUGACUUGAUUUUCCUCCAGAGUGUUUAUGUUCAUUGAAGAAAGCUUUUGAAAGAGGUCUCCAUGUCCCCCAUCAGGUUGUAUCACAUAUGCGGCCUUUGGAAAUGAAAUCCUGAUUGGAGGGAUGGCUAAGUUUUCUUCUACAGGCUUCCUUCCUUCCAUCCUAGCCAUUCUCUUCUCCCUUCUUGCACCAGCAGCUCGUUUGUAAUCCUCUUUCUUGGGCUUAUAUCCAAGCCCAAACCUCUGUUCUGCAGCUUUCAAUUUGAUUAUACCCCUCCAUUCAGGCCUUCUUUGCUCCAUAUCAUAUGGGAAAGGAAUCUUGUUUUUCAAAAAGAUUUUAGCUGCCAUUUUAGUGGCUUCAGAGAUUUCUGGCUUCCUCAACACAGUGUUCUCGGGCACCCACUCGGUAUUCACAAUCUCAAAUGCAUGAAGGUUUCCGUCCCUACAAUCUUCUGCUUCAAUGAAUGGAACCGCCACAUUUCUUACCAUCGAUAUAGUCUCCUCAGCCUUAACAGUAACCAGGACACCGUUGGCAAUGUACUUUAAACAUUGAUGUAGCGAAGAGGUGACAGCUCCCGCAGAAUGUAUCCAUGGCCUUCCUAACAGCAUGCUAUAAGAAGGGUGGAUAUCCAUCACUUGAAGGGUUACUAGAAAGACUUGUGGACCCACAGCUAGUUCGACCUCAAUUGACCCUAUCACUUGCCUUGAUGAGCCAUCAUAUGCUCUCGCCGUUAUCACACUGGGCUGCAUAUGUGAGGGAUCUAUCGGCAUUUCAUCCAGCAUGUCGCACGUCAAAAUCCGCGCGACAUCUGCCGGCGAUUUUUAUUAUUUGUGUUUUGCUUGGUUCGUUGGAGUCGCCACCUAGUAUUAUGGUCACUAGGAACCUAAGAUCUGCGAGAGUCUGAGUAAGGGACUGGUUGUGCAAGGGGAAGACGCAUCACCCCCAGUGCACCCUACCUAAGGUAAGCUGCAUUGUUGUUUAAUUGUUUUUCUAGGUCGAAUUUCUAUUCGUUGGUCUUUCUAAGGUUCAAGGCAGAUCUCCCCUCAUGAGGAAGUCUCUACCUUAUUCGGUUAAAUCCUAACCAUUCUAAAGUCUUAAUUUAUUUACACCUUGUAUCUUUAAUAUUUGAGGGUGUACUUUAUCAUGUAAUUUUACACCUUUCAAAUAUUAAAGUCUACAUCUAGAUCCUAGAAAAAAAAGAUUGGAAAAAGGUUUUUGAUAUUUUGGCCAAACCCUAAUGGAUAAUCAUAAACUAGUUAUGAUAUCUAUUUUUUGGAUUUUUCAAAACGUGAGAAAGAUGCAAUUUUUCGAAAAAAACAUGCUUGGAAAAUUUUUAGGACUUGGCCGUAUGCAAUAAAAUAUUUUUUUAAAAAAUAUUUCGAAAAAGCCGGGUAUUUUAAUACCGGACUUAUAUCUUACAAUGUAAGUAUACAACCCAAUAUUAAGCAAACUUGGUGGAAAAAUAUUUGAGAAAACCACAAUUUUUAAAUGAUUUUUUUUUAAUAUUUUUUGAAAAUAAAAAAGAAAAACGAAUACAAAACUAAAAGGCAUGAACAGUGAACAGUGACGGCAUGAACAGUGACGCCGAAGAAGAAGAGGAAGGUGAGCGGACCACCUGGCGUGGCGGCGAUGGCUGGCUGGAGGAGGAGGACCUGAAGCUGGUGGUGGAAACGGCGGUGGAGUUAGCUGGAGCGGCUGCAGCUGGAAGAGGAAAAAAAAAGAAGAAAAUCUGCAGCAGGAAAAGGGAGGAAGGCUGGUUUUUUGGCUUACUUUGGACCCGCUUUUCUCCUCCCUCUAAGCACGAAAUUGGCUCCUAUUUAUAGGGAUGGAAAGAGAGUAAUCUUGUCUUCAACAGGGAAAAAGUCUCAGCCCUUGAUUCGACUUGAGGAAUCCAAGCCGUUGGUUCAAAGUGUGCACCUCGAACUGCAAAAAUUGGCAAUCCAAGGCUGCAGACUGCCCGAGGGUGCCACUUUGGGCCAAUAAACGGAGCCGUUUUCGAGUUGUUCGACCCGACCGGACCACUCUACGAGAUAGAGGGAUUGCAGGUGGACAUGGUGGUGCACGCUUUGUCGGAUUUGGGGAACAAACGAGGUAGAAAAUUCGCCUGGAAGUCUGCCACUCGGGCAGCUUUGCGGGGAAGAAGGUGAACAGUAACCAGCCGAUUUGUUUUUUUUUUUUUUUUUUUUCGUUUUUCAAUUUAGUCCGCGUUCUUUCAAAUUAGUUCAAUGGAACCCCUAAUUGACCAUAAACCUUUGAUUUAAUGCAAUUUUGGCCCCUAAUUUCAAUCAAUUCACUUGGUAAAAAUUAAAUUUGGUCUCUUAAAAUUCCAAUCUUCUUAAUUAAGCCUAAAUCAGGCUCCCAAAUUUAAUUUUUCACCAAUUAAGCCCCAAAUAAAAUUAAUUUGACCCACUUAAAGUAUAAUUAAGUCCUUGCACUUAAUUAAAUCCUUCAAUUAGACCUAAAUUAAUUCUUAAACAUAAUUAAAAUUUAAUUUGGCCCAUGAUUAAAUCAAAUUGGCCCAUUAAAAAUUUAAUUAUGUCAUUGGACUUAAUUUUUAUGCAAAUUCGUCCAAUAAUCGUUUAAUUUUACCUUCGAAUUUGCAUUUUUAUAUUCUUGGGCAUAAUAGGGUACAAUUAGGCCUUGAAAUUCCUCUAAAAAUUGCAGCUUUAUUUCCCAGUCUGCUCUCUCCACGUUGCCAGCCUUUAUUUUAUUUUUUGAUUUUUAUUUUGAAGAAAGAAAUUGAUUUUUAGGGAAUAACCCAGAAUUGGGUUAUGACAGUUGCCCCCCUCUUUACAAUGCUUACGGUAGAAGGUCUCUUAAGAGACUUUAGAUAGUAAGCGUUGUAAAGAAGAAAAAAGGAAGAUUUUUUUUUUUUUUUUUUUAAAUGGUCGAAUUGUCAUGGGUGACCUACCCGGGUGAAAAACACGAAGAUGUUUUAAAGAGGUGAAAAAUACAGAGAUUUUUCAAAGAGGUGAAAAAUACCGAGAUUUUUCAAAGUGGUUUUGUUGUAAUGGGCAACCGGCCCAAGAUGGAAAACGAAAAGAGUUUUCAAGGUGGUGAAAAAUACAAAGAUUUUUCAAAGUGGUUUUGUUGUAAUUGGCAACCGGCCCAGAUGAAAGGUUUUGAAAAAUACAAAGAUUUUUUCAAAGAGGUGAAAAAUGCAGAGAUUUUUCAAAGUGGUGAGAAAUGCGAAGAUUUCUCAAAAAUGAUCUUGUUGUGAUGGGCGACUUGCCCAGAUGGAAAGUGAUGAAAAAUGCAAAGAUUUUUCAAAGUGGUGAGAAAUACAAAGAUUUCUCAAAGUGGUGAAAAAUGCAGAGAUUUUUCAAAGUGGUUUUGUUGUAAUGGGCAACUGGCCCGAGAUGAAAGGUUUUGAAAAAUACAAAGAUUUUUUUCAAAGAGGCGAAAAAUGCAGAGAUUUUUCAAAGUGGUGAGAAAUGCAGAGAUUUCUCAAAAAUGGUGAAAAAUUUUGGAGGUGGUGAGAAAUGCAAAGAUUUCUCAAAAUGGUUUUAUUGUUAUGGGCAACCGGCCCGAGUGAAAAAGUUUGAAAGUGGGGAGAAAUGCAAGGAUUUCUUAAAAUGGUGAAAAAUACAUAGAUUUUUCAAAGUGGUGAAAAAUACAAUGAUUUUUUAAAAGUGGUUUUGUUGUAAUGGGCAACCGGCCCAAGAUGGAAAUGUUUUGAAAAAUACAAAGAUUUUUUCAAAGAGGCGAAAAAUGCAGAGAUUUUUCAAAGUGGUGAGAAAUGCGAAGAUUUCUCAAAAUUGUGAAAAAGUUUAGAGGUGGUGAGAAAUGCAAAGAUUUCUCAAAAUGGUUUUAUUGUUAUGGGCAACCGGCCCAAAUGGAAAAAAGUUUGAAAGUGGGGAGAAAUGCAAUGAUUUCUCAAAAAUGGUUUCAUUGUUAUGGGCAACCGGCCCAAAUGGAAAAGGUUUGAAGGUGGGGAGAAAUGCAAUGAUUUCUCAAAAAUGGUUUUAUUGUUAUGGGCAACCGGCCCAAAUGGAAAAAGUUUGAAGGUGGGGAGAAAUGCAAGGAUUUCUCAAAAAUGGUUUAUUGUUAUGGGCAACCGGCCCAAAUGGAAGAUGAAAAGAGUUUAGAAAAAAGUCUGAUUAUAAUGGGUGACCUGCCCGGGAGAAAAGGCAAAAUGUCUGAAAUGGACGACAUGAUAGGACUCGAUGGGGAACGAGGGCUGAAGAGCGUACUCGAAAGGAGAUAGGGUUCGAAAAACACACUAUCUAAGAGGUGAGUGCUCCAAGGCGCACUCUAAAGAAGGCAAAUAGGGCUAGAAAGCACACUACACAAGAGGUGAGGGCUCGAAGGAGCUCUCAAAAGGAGGCAAGGUUGGAAAAUGCACUACCUAAGGGGUAAGGGUUCAAAGGAGCAUUCAAAAGGAGGUAGGGUUGGAAAACUCACUACCUAAAGUGGUGAGGGCUCGAAGGAGCAUACGAAAGGAGGUAAGGUUAGGAAACGCACUACCUAAAGUGGUUGAAGGCUCUAAAACGCACUCAAAAGGGGAGGUAGGGUCAGAAAACACACUACCUAAAGGGGUUGUUAGCUCGAAGGCGCUCUAAAAAAGAGGCAGGGUUGGAAAACGCACUACCUAAAGGGUUGAUGGCCCUAAGGCGCAUACGAAAGGAGGUAAGGUUAGGAAACGCACUACCUAAAGUGGUGAGGGUUCAAAGGAGCAUUCGAAAGGAGGUAAGGUUGGAAAACGCACUACCUAAAGUGGUGAGGGCUCAAAGGAGCAUCCGAAAGGAGGUAAGGUUGGAAAACGCACUACCUAAAGUGGUUGAUGGCCCUAAGGCGCACUUAAAAGGAGAUAGGGUUGGAAAACGCACUACCUAAGAUGUGAGGGCUCCAAGGAGCAACCAAAAGGAGGUAGAGUUAGAAAACACACUACCUAAGGUGGUUAAUGGCCCUAAGGCGCACUUAAAAUGAGGCAAGGUUAGAAAACACACUACCUAAGGUGGUUGAUGGCCCUAAGGCGCACUUAAAAGGAGGUAGGGUUGGAAAACACACUACCUAAGAGGUGAGGGCUCGAAGGAGCUCUCAAAAAGAGGCAGGGUUGGAAAACACACUACCUAAAAGGGUUAGGGCUCGAAGGCACACUAAAAAAGAGGUAGGGUUAGAAAACACACUACCUAAGGGGUGAGGGUUAAAAGACGCUCUCAGAAGGAGGUAGGGUUGAAAAACACACUACCUAAAAGGUUAGGGCUCGAAGGCACACUAAAAAAGAGGUAUGGUGUUAGAAAACACACUACCUAAGGGGUGAGUGCUCCAAGGGGCACUUAAAAAGAGGCAGGGUUGGAAAACACAUUACCUAAGAGGGUUAGGGCUCAAAGGCACACUAAAAAAAGAGAUGAUGGUGAGACACCGAUCUGUCAAGGAUGAAAGUAAUGCAUCAUGAUCAAUAUGCAUGUAUACUUACCUGAGAAGUAUAGGUCCACUUUUCCUCAUAGAGUUCUCCUUUUCUCAAAAGUUUGAGUCUCUGAUGGUACGCUUUGAUGGCUUUUGUCCCCCUUGCUUACUCGAGAAAUAUCUUACGAUCUUGUCCUCUAGGAAAGACUUGAUGCCAUCAUUUCUUUGUUCUCCGCCCCUUUUAUCUCAAAGGCUGUAAGUUUUGCCCAAUAGUUUCUUAGACAGGGAAUCAUGGAGCCAGCCCUACCAGAUGUUUUUUUGAUUUCCCCCUAGCUUGAUCAUGCCCCCAAGUAUUCAAUUCAGGUUUGGGGAUGAGGCUAUAUGAAGGAAGGUUUGGUUUUUGACAAGGAGUUGUUUUCAUGUAGAAUUUUUGGAAUUUCAAAGUUAUUCCGAACACAGAAAUCAUUUUGACCUUGAUUCAAAGCAAACUCAUUCUGAAGAAAUUCAAAUGAUUCCUAUGGAGAGGUUUUCAAAAGUGAUGAAAACUUUUUGUUUCGAUUUUGGUGAAAAAAUAUGAAGUGACAUUUGGUUGGUCACAAAAAGUUGAAAUUUCAAUUUGUGGGUUAUUGAGAACCAUUGGCGAAAAUAUGAUGAACAUGAAGUGACAUCUGGUUGGUCACAAAAGGUUUAAAUUUCAAUUUGAGGGUUAUUGAGAACCGUUUUCAAAGCAGUCAUUUUAUUUGCAUGAAUAAUGAUUUUAUUUUGCAUGAGAAAGCACUGCCUACCGAUCCAGAUUGCUUGCCUUUGAUCAGAAAGGGCUUGAUUAGGCACGUAAUGUAGGCUUGGGCUUUUGGCUAUGAAGAAAUGAUAUUUGUAGGCUCAAAAGGUGUUUGAGGGACUUUAAGACUAAGGAUCACUAGUGCUUAUAUCCCAAACUCUUUUGUUCAUACAUUUAUGGACCUUGGAAUUGAUUUGUAAAAUGGUCCACGGUGCCCCCCAAUGUUGGGCUUGGGCUCUUUCUCUUUGUUUUUGUUUUCUUCAUUUGAUUUUGAGCAUCAUUGCAUUGGCCUUGUUUUUUUUGCUCAAAAUUUUUGGAUCCUUUGGAUUUUUCUUCAUGCCCCCUAGCUUUAUAUGGGCACCUUUGAUGAUUGAGAAUUUUCUUUUAUGCCCCCCAGUAUUGUUUGGGCAUUUCAUCGUUGAAGACUUUUUCAUGCCCCCAAGAGUUAUUGGGCACUUUCAAUCAUUAUGGAUUUUUUUUUGCACUUGCCCCCCAGUGUAGGGUGUGAUCCUAGCCAAGGUUAUUUUUCAAGAAAAAUUUAUUAGGCUCAAAAGGGGACUGCAAAUGAUAUAUUUCAGCCUUGUGAAAGGAUUAUCAAAGAUGGCCUUUCUUCAUCUCAAAUGCAUGCAUUUAGGAUCGGUAAGCCUUGCUUUCAUGCGAGUAUGCAAAGUGAUUAUUCAUGCAAUCAAAACUCAGCUUUUGGAGUCACUUCAUGGUGUUUUUUUUUUGGUUUUCUAGGUGUAUGGUUACCUCUCUAAGGAAUCACCUGAAUUUCCAGAACUCGUAUAUUUCGGACAAACAUCAACAUGAUUUCUGUUUUUGUACUAAACUUUGAAUUCCCAAAAAUCCUUAUGAAAACAUGCAUAGUUUUGAAAAGAAAGGGAGAAACACGCCCAAAGAUUCUUGACGCAAUGGUUUCAUGCUUGAAGGUUAUGCUCAAUGUGUUAUAUUGCAUGAACAACAAAAAUGAAGGCAUGUGAUGAACACAGGAAAACACAAGAAAGGCUCAAUGGACAUGGAAAGUCUUGUGGAAUUUUGAGCCAAAUUGCCAACAAAAACUGGAGUAGGUUGAAAUAAAAAAUCAAGUUUUUGGAGGCAUGAUCAAACAGAGGUAGUUAUUUUGGCAGAGCAAGAACAGGCUCCAUUCUGCCAUGGUGAUGCAAUUCCCCUUCAGAUUAUAUUGAGGCUCUUGAUCAUGUGGGCCCCUAAUUUCUUCGGGUUGAGUCUUGGUUAGGGCUUGAACAAAAGUGAUAGGUCAAUUGGAAGGACCUUCACCAGAGGCAUUUCUAAGUGUAUGCUCGAGUAAGCUAGUGAGGCGAGCCACGCUUGUUUUCAGAGACUCUAACUCUUCUUGGAAAUGGGCAUCAUGGUGAGCAUGCUCUUCACCUUCCAUGUUUCUUUGCUUGGAGUCGAGUGUUGUAGACUCUUUGGGGACCUAUAUUUCAACCUGGCGCAUGUAUGUAUGUCAUUUACAAUGGAUGGAUGUAUGUGUGUGGAUGCAAAUGUAUGCACAUUUGGUAUGAAUGGAAAAAAACUCAUGCAAAAUGAAUAACAAGAGAGUUCAUGCUCUAAAGGAAGGUUCUAGGUCAUUACAUGAUGGGUAGGCAUUCUACCUGGUCUUGAAAAGGUCUAUGAACUGCCCAGUGACCACCUCACGUGAAGGCAGUGUAGGGGUUUACAAGGAAUGGUUGGGGCACAAUGUGACCGCCAUUACCAAGUAAACACUAAGCUCAUAGUUGGAUGUUUCACGAAUCUGAACCCCGACUGAAAGUCAUGAGGCAGACCGCUACUCCCCACCUAACCUAGAAUAGGGUUUAUUCGCAAAAUUAAAAUGCAUGCUAAAGCAAUAAAAAUGCGAGCUAAAAUUAAAGACCAAUAAAAGGAAAACAAUCAAACAAUCAAUGCUUAGUCCGACCACACAUGGUUGUCCCCAGUGGAGUCGCCAUUCUGUCGCACGUCAAAAUCCGCGCGACAUCGACCGGCGAUUUUUAUUAUUUGUGUUUUGCUUGGUUCGUUGGAGUCGCCACCUAGUAUUAUGGUCACUAGGAACCUAAGAUCUGCGAGAGUCUGAGUAAGGGACUGGUUGUGCAAGGGGAAGACGCAUCACCCCCAGUGCACCCUACCUAAGGUAAGCUGCAUUGUUGUUUGAUUGUUUUUCUAGGUCGAAUUUCUAUUCGUUGGUCUUUCUAAGGUUUCAAGGCAGAUCUCCCCUCAUGAGGAAGUCUCUACCUUAUUCGGUUAAAUCCUAACCAUUCUAAAGUCUUAAUUUAUUUACACCUUGUAUCUUUAAUAUUUGAGGGUGUACUUUAUCAUGUAAUUUUACACCUUUCAAAUAUUAAAGUCUACAUCUAGAUCCUAAAAAAAAAAGAUUGGGAAAAAGGUUUUGAUAUUUUGGCCAAACUAAUGGAUAUCAUAAACUAGUUAUGAUAUCUAUUGUUUUGGAUUUUUUCAAAACGUGAGAAAGAGCAAUUUUUCGAAAAAAACUGCUUGGAAAUUUUUAGGACUUGGCCGUAUGCAAUAAAAUAUUUUUUUAAAAAAUAUUUCGAAAAAGCCGGGUAUUUUAAUACCGGACUUAUAUCUUACAAUGUAAGUAUACAACCAAUAUUAAGCAAACUUGGUGGAAAAAUAUUUGAGAAAACCACAAUUUUUAAAUGAUUUUUUUUAAUAUUUUUUGAAAAUAAAAAAGAAAAACGAAUAAAAAACUAAAAGGCAUGAACAGUGAACAGUGACGGCAUGAACAGUGACGCCGAAGAAGAAGAGGAAGGUGAGCGGACCACCUGGCGUGGCGGCGAUGGCUGGCUGGAGGAGGAGGACCUGAAGCUGGUGGUGGAAACGGCGGUGGAGUUAGCUGGAGCGGCUGCAGCUGGAAGAGGAAAAAAAAGAAAGAAAAUCUGCAGCAGGAAAAGGGAGGAAGGCUGGUUUUUUGGCUUACUUUGGACCCGCUUUUCUCCUCCCUCUAAGCACGAAAUUGGCUCCUAUUUAUAGGGAUGGAAAGAGGGUAAUCUUGUCUUCAACAGGGAAAAAGUCUCAGCCCUUGAUUCGACUUGAGGAAUCCAAGCCGUUGGUUCAAAGUGUGCACCUCGAACUGCAAAAAUUGGCAAUCCAAGGCUGCAGACUGCCCGAGGGUGCCACUUUGGGCCAAUAAACGGAGCCGUUUUCGAGUUGUUCGACCCGACCGGACCACUCUACGAGAUAGAGGGAUUGCAGGUGGACAUGGUGGUGCACGCUUUGUCGGAUUUGGGAACAAACGAGGUAGAAAAUUCGCCUGGAAGUCUGCCACUCGGGCAGCUUUGCGGGGAAGAAGGUGAACAGUAACCAGAUUUGUUUUUUUUUUUUUUUUUUUUCGUUUUUCAAUUUAGUCCGCGUUCUUUCAAAUUAGUUCAAUGGAACCCCUAAUUGACCAUAAACCUUUGAUUUAAUGCAAUUUUGGCCCCUAAUUUCAAUCAAUUCACUUGGUAAAAAUUAAAUUUGGUCUCUUAAAAUUCCAAUCUUCUUAAUUAAGCCUAAAUCAGGCUCCCAAAUUUAAUUUUUCACCAAUUAAGCCCCAAAUAAAAUUAAUUUGACCCACUUAAAGUAUAAUUAAGUCCUUGCACUUAAUUAAAUCCUUCAAUUAGACCUAAAUUAAUUCUUAAACAUAAUUAAAAUUUAAUUUGGCCCAUGAUUAAAUCAAAUUGGCCCAUUAAAAAUUUAAUUAUGUCAUUGGACUUAAUUUUUAUGCAAAUUCGUCCAAUAAUCGUUUAAUUUUACCUUCGAAUUUGCAUUUUUCUAUUCUUGGGCAUAAUAGGGUACAAUUAGGCCUUGAAAUUCCUCUAAAAAUUGCAGCUUUAUUUCCCAGUCUGCUCUCUCCACGUUGCCAGCCUUUAUUUUAUUUUUUGAUUUUUAUUUUGAAGAAAGAAAUUGAUUUUUAGGGAAUAACCCAGAAUUGGGUUAUGACACAGCAUAUGCCUUGGUAACACAUUAAGGGCCGAGCCGUUAUCAAUGAGAACCUUGCCGACGAGACAAUCCUUGCAUCGGACCGUGACAUACAAGGGCUUGUUAUGUCCAGUUCCUUCAGCAUCAAGUUCAUCUUCCGUGAAAUACAAGUAAUUGGCAGCAUGGAUCCUCCCUACUAGAUGCUCCAUAGUCUUUUGCUCAAUAUCUUGGGGCACAUAGGCCUCAUUCAGUACUUUUUGCAAAGCAUUACGAUGUGGCUCGGAGCUGAGUAUUAAUGACAUGAUGGAGAUCUUAGCAGGGGUUUUCUUCAACUGAUCCACUAUACUGUACUCACUAUGCUUCAUCAAUUUCAGGAACUCAUUUGUUUCUUCCUCAGUCACAGGUUUAUUCACCUCAAACUCUUUAUCGAGGUCCAGCACCUCCUUGCCUUUAGCCUUUCUUUGUCUUUCUAGUUCUUCAGGUGUGAAACAACGACCACUCCGAGUUAGCCCACUUAUCUCCGUUCGGAACAGCGGCAAAGGAGCUUCAAUAUUCGAGGUAUAACCAUAAUCUCCAGGCAUCGCUCCAUAGUUUACUUUGCUUGCAUAUGAGGGCCUAGUUAAUACCAGUUUUGAGCGACCAUUAGCUGUUGAUUGGAUUCUACAUUUCUCUAUCAUCUCUACCUCUUCAUUGUCACUUACGUCCUCAAUCCUCAACUCUCCUAGAGUUAGCAUUCUUGCAACUUUUUGAUGAAAUUCAAUGCAUUCAUCAAUGUGAUGCCCUUCCUUUUUAUGGAAAGGGCAAAAGUUACUUUCCCCUGUGCAGUACUCAGUCGUUUCUUCCAAAUGUCCAGACUGUACCAACAUCAAGUAUAGCUUGGCCAUGGUCACUUUCAACACCCUCUUUUUGCUACCAAUCUCCAUGGUAUUCACUCCUCCCCUACCAUCAACAUGUUUAGGUAAAGGGUUUGAAUUCUGAUUAGGCGAAUCCUCAAAAGUGACCCAUCCCACUUUGAUCAGUUGCAACACCUUUCUUUUAAAAGCAAAGCAAGACUCAAUGCUAUGGCCUGCGUGACCAGCAUGGUAUUCACAAGUUACCUCGGGGUUGUACCAGGCAGGGAAAGGUGGUUGCAUAGGUGGUAUGGGUAGGGGAGCUAUCUGCCCAAUACUCAACAGCUUGGCAUACAACUCUUUUAAGGUUAUUGGUAAAGGUAGUUGUUCUUCUGAUGGUUGCUUAUCCUUUCUUUGGUAAUUGUUGGUUAUUUGCUGGGAAUUUGUUUGGAGUGGGGGGUUUGGAAAAGUUAAUACUAGUGACUCGGGGGUAGGUAUUUGAUAGUUUUUUCUUCUCCUUUCUAGGUUGUUCACCUCAAUUUCUUUCUUCCUUCCAAUGAAACCUCUCUUCUCUAGAGGUUCUGCAAUUCUCCCACUUCGGAUCCCUUGUUCAAUCCUCUCGGCGAUCCGCACGACAUCAUAGAAAUGUUGUGCUGAACUACCCAUAAGGUGUUCAUAGUAUGGAGCCCUGAAAGUAUUGGCAAACAAAGUCACCAUUUCUGUCUCUAUCAGCGGAGGUUGCACAUUGAUAGCUUGGUCUCGCCACCUUUGAGCAUAAGCCCUCACGGACUCUUGACUUCCUUUCUCCAUGCUAAUCAGACUGGUCCUAUCAGGAGCAAUCUCUAGAUUAAACUUGUAUUGCUUUAAGAAAGCGUCCGCCAAGUCUGUCCACUUCCUGAUCCUAAUAUUGUCUAACCUCAUAUACCAACUGAGGGCUGAUCCGGUCAGGCUAUCCUGGAAGAAGUAAAUUAACAUUUUUCGUCGUGGAUAACCUCUGCCAUUUUGUUAUAGUAGGAGCGGAGAUGGGUCUUCGGGCAUUCCAUCCCAGUAUACUUAACAAACUCCGGCACUCUGAACUUCUUUGGAAUGACAAUAUUAGGUACUAAACAUACCUCAGCGGCCCUAAUUGGGUCAAACAAAUCAUUUCCUUCAAUUGCCCUUAGCCUCUCUUCUAGGGCAGUCCACUUAUCAUCUCCUUCAUGAUUAGAGAAUUUAAAGUCAUGUGGAUCUUCGUUUGUUAAAUCCAUUGUAAUAGGGAUUUGGAUGGGCCGAGCAGGACUCUGCUUAGUUGGUGUAUUUGCCCCUAUGUUUAUAGGUGCGACAGGAAUUUGAGCUGCUGCUGGUGCUUCAUUAGGUUGAGUAGAUGUUCCCUCUCCAUCUCUGGCUCUUAAUAAUUGCUCUAACAUACUUGUUAAGUGCGCCACAUCAUUCCGAACUCCUUCGAGUUCUCUUUGGUACUGAGAUUCUGGUUGUGACCUUCCUUCGUUUUCCAUUCUUGCUCUUUGUCGAGUGUUGUGGAUUCUAGGAGGGGGACCUAUGUUUCUUAAUCUGCAGAUGCAUGCAUAGAUGUAUGAGAAAAUGUAUGAUUGUGAUGGAUGCAUGAUCGAAAAAUGCAUGCUUUAUUGGGUAUGGAUGCAUCCUUUUUGUGAACGAAUAACAACCAUCACAUUAUAAGCCUUCUCUUGUCACAUUGCUUUGAUAGGAGUUCUGCCUUUCGAGUCGUUUGCUUGAAUCAUGUUCACCAAGAGACAGAUUUUUGCAUAAGAAGAUGGGUCAACGCCCUUUUCAUUAAUGCUUGGAUAAAAAUACAUUUAGAAAUAAAAGAAAUACAACAUGCUAAUCCCUUUCCUCCCUAAACUCUUUGCCAAAGGUAAGAAAGCAAAACCGCGGUUCUCAAUCUUCCCUAGAAAGGCAUCGGUUUCAGCUAGGCUUCGGCGAUAGCGAAUGAUGUCUCCCCCACAUUCCGCGAAUUGAUUCUGACCAUUCGAGCAUGUGCAGCAGCUUCGUCCAUUUGCUCAUCUGUUUUGGUCAUUUUUUCUAUGAGCAACAUGUUGGUUCUGUUUAAAGCAGUGUUGUUGGCGUCGAUUUGAUCUUUGUGCUUCUCCAUUGCUACUAGCUUUUCAUCUAAAUACUUCACUUUUCGUUCUUUGUCAAGCUUUAUCCUCAUGACUUUUAUCUCAUUCUUCUUGACUGCUAACUCUGCUUUAACAUCCUCGAAUCCUCCCUUUUCGCUUUCCAACUCCAUAUAUUUCUUAUUCAAAUCCUCAUACUUCCUAAUCCUAUCCAUCAGCUCGAAUUGCACUUGCCAAAUUUUUCUUGGUAAUAUUCUGCACUUUCUUGGCAAUCGCUAAAGUCCAUCUCCAUUGCUUGAAGUUCAGAGCAACUUUGCAUCCAAUCCAAACUCAUCCCUUUAAGCUCCUUCUCACUUCCUUCCUUAGCAAUCUUCUCCUCAACCAACUUUAACUCCAGCUUUGUUAUUUUCUCAUCUCUAGACUGUAUUUGCUCAUCUAGAAAUGUUCUCAUUUUAUCCUGUUCUAGCAUCAUUUCUUCCAACAUUGCUUUGUCUUUUCUGCUCUUGCUCAAUUCUAUUCGUAGUUUCCACUUGCCUUCUCAAGUCUUCUUCAUUACUAACUCUCUUUCUCUUGAUAGGCUCCUCUUCAGUUGGAGAAGAUUUGACUUCUACACAAGGCAUGGCUGAAGCAGCUGAAUCAUCUUCAAUGUUCACCCUUUUUCUCUUAAUAGGCUCCGCUACAUCUUGAGGAGAUUUAGCUUCUACGCGAGGGUGGCUGAAGUGCUGAGUCUCUCCAUUUUACAUAUCCUUCGCUCACACUUGGAUCUCUUAACCCUUCUAUCUCCACCAACACUAGAUGCUUCCAAUCUUGCUUGAUGAUCUCCAAAACCUCUUCUGCCAUGGGAUCUUUGAACAAACCAGAGAAUUGAGCAAUUCCCAUAGUCCUGGGAACGAACUGCAUGCCCCCAAGUUGUCUUACCACUAAGGCAGGAGCAUAACUCACAUAACCCGUGAUCCCCACCAAUGGUACCCAACGCCUUUGUCCACAACUCAUUAGGACCUUCACUGACGUUACCCAUGGGGCCCUCCACUUAAACUCGCUAUUAGGUAAACCUUCUAAUUUAUCAACCCAACCCUGGUUGUCUAGAUCUCCCCAUUCUUCUUCUUCUACUAACUUGAGGGGUUUUUGGGUGAACCACCAAAAAUUAUUGAAGACAGGUUUCUUUGUCUCGAUAUGGCUAACCAUCCAAAUAUACAACAGUUGCGUGCAGCAUCUCAUUGCUCCUUUUCCGGCCCUCCUACAAUGGUUAAGUGUCAAAAUUGUUUCGGCUAAAAUAGCAGCCACUGGAUUGAUUCGUGUAUUCUCAUACUCCACAUAAGCAGCAGCGGCCUCCAAACUCACUAAACCAAUCUGACUUGGGAACAACACAAGGCCAAAUAUACCUAGGGCAAUCAAUCUCUCUUUUUCUACUCCUGACUUCUUUUCCAAUUCUAACAUCCUCCAUUUCAAACCGGUACCAUUCUUUUGAAACUUUUCCAAGUUGGAGAUUCUGAGCAGCUUUGACAGUUCAGGGAUGAUCUUGUCGGAUCUUAAAGGAGAAUAAAUCCGAUACAGGUCGUUGGGAAACUCGGUCAACAAUCCAUAUUCCUCAACCGUGGGGCACAAGUCUAUGCUUCCAAAGGAAAAACAUCGGUAGUCUGGAUCCCAAAAAUGAACUAAAGCUCGCACAGCUGGGCUUAAAACUUCUACCUUUGCAAUUUCCAUCAAACGUCCGUAUUUCCUAAAAAAUGCAUCUUUAUCCACAUUCUGAAAAUGAGUCGUUAACUUGUUCACCUCAUUCAAUACGCAAUUCAGGUUCUUGAUUGGUGACAUCUUCUUAGCAUCGCUUCUAAGGCAGUCUCCUUCAGUCAAUUGUGACAGUUCAGAAUUUUUUCCAUAUUCUAAGAUGGAAGAUUUAGUGAUGAUGGCCAUUUCGUUCACAAGUCCUGCAAUUCAAAAUGCAUUGGGGUUUAGACUUUGUUUGGAUGCAAAAGAUAUGUUGGAACAUACACCCUAAGGAUAGGUUCUAAUUUCUCUACGUGAGACAUAGGGUAGGUUUACUAUUGGGUCUCUAAAAGAGGGUCUCUUGCUGUUCCAGUGAUCAGCCUUCGUAAAGGCGAUAUGGAGGUCUAGCAGAUAGUGGGAUGGUACGUGUACCAAUCACAAUCAGUCUAAACACUCAGCAAAGAGUUGGGGUUUACACAAACUUAAACCUUGACUCAAGUCAUAAGGCAAGCUGCUAGUCCCCCACUUAAACUUAAAGUUACAUGUGUGUGCACUCCAAAACAUAAUAACAAUAAUAAAGUGAUGCAUGACUAUGCCAUGUAUGAUAGAAUGUAAAGAUAUAUGCUAAAGCUUUUAAACAAAGCAUCAUAAGAAAACAAAAACCAAUAACACAUAACAUAAACAAACAAACAAAUCAAGCUUAGUCCAAGGGUCCCCAGUGGAGUCGCCAUCCUGUCGCACCCCAAAAAAAAUAAAAAAUUUGGCGUUCGACUGGCGACUUUCGUUUUGUUUUUUUGCUGAUUUGGUUCUUUGGAGUCGCCACCUAGUAUUUUGGUCACUAGGAACCCUAACUGGUCUUUCAGAGAUUCUAAGGCAAGGGACUGGUUGCGUAAAGGGAAGGUAUUAGCACCCCUAGUACGCCCUACCUAAGGUAAGCUGCUUGGUGUUUGGUUUGCUCUAUAAUGCUAUGGUGUUGGUAUUUUCUAGGCUCGUCAAUUGAUUUUGGAUAGAAAUCUAAGGAGAUUCCAUGUGCUUUGAAAGCUCAUUUUUCCCUUAGUAUUUCAAAAGUUUGCGACUCAUAAAUCGUGGAGAAAAAAAAUUAAAUUUUGAAAUGUCCUCGAUUAUAAUCAAGGCUUCUUUCAAGAAUGUGUGCGGAUUUAUUACUCCCAAUAAUAUUUUGGAUAUUCAUCCUUUUAAGGAUUUCUUUAUCCAAACAUUAGCGGUAAAUAAUAAAUAAAUUCCUCCCAAAAUAAGAUUUUUAUAGUUUUUGAAUAUUGGCCAAUACCCUUUGGAAUUUUACAAACACGUUGUAAAAUCCAGAAAUGCAAGAAAAUAAUUUGUGUUUAAGAAAUCUAUGCGAAAACACACUUUCGAAGCUUCCAAUAUAUUUUUUUUAAAAAGAAAUUCAAAACAUGUUAGAGUAUUGGCCGUAUGCAACACGCAAGAAAAAUUUUUUUUUUUAAAUAUUUUUUUUUUGACGAAAACGGUAUUUUAAUACUGAAUUUGUAUCUCCACAUAAAAAUACAAACAAUUAAAUCAUAAAAAAAUGUGCGGAAAAAUCCACAAUAUUUUUUAGAAUUUUUGAAAGCAAAAGAAUUUUUAUCUUUGAAAAUCUGGAUGUCUUGACGAAAACCGGGUAUUUUAAACACUGAAUUUGUAUCUCCACAGUAUUACAAACCAAUGUAUAAAAAAUAUAUAUAUGAAAAGAAAACAAUUUUUUUUUUGAUUUUUUUUUUAUUUUUUAAAAUAUAUAUAAUAUACAUGCAUAAAUAAUAUAAUAAUAUAAUAUAAUAUAAUUAAUAAAUAUAUUAAUAUUAAGGGGCUGGGCCGGCCAACUAAACUGGGCCGGACCAGCCUUAAAAGUCGUUGGGAACUCGGCCCAAAAGGGAUUGGGCCGAUCUCGGCCCAAGAACUAAUUAACCUCGGUCUGGGCCGGACCCAGCCCAGACCGCCGAUUGGGCCAGAAUCCCUCUGGCCCGUCCCGCAUAGUUUUGGGCCAGACACCAUCUGGCCUAGAGAAGGGAAAAAAAAAAAGAGCACGGGGGGGAAUUAUUUUCCCCCCCCCGCCUCCUGCAUGCAGAACGACUCUGCAUGCAGGAGGCAAAACUGAUGCAGGUUUCGAAAAAAAAUACAGGGGGGAAAGAAAGCGUACCUGGGGCGGCGGAGACGGUGGCUUGCUGGCGGUGGCAGCGUCCUAGCUCACGGACAGCGACUCCUCACGGUGAUUUCCAAACAAUCCGGCGACGCCCUCUCGGUUCGUUUUCUUCGUUUUGUUUUCUAAAUUCCCUCCCAGCAUUAAACUUUCACUCUUCUCUUGCUUUUUUUGGGGUUUUCGGUGGCUCUCUCUCCUCGGUUGGGUGUUUCUCUCUCUUCCUCUCUCUCUUCGUUUUUUGGUUCUCUUCGGGUUCCUCUCCUUUUUCUUUUUCUUUUUUCAUCCCUGUUUCUCUUAUUAUGUUCUCUAUUUAUAGAGCCAGGGGGCGUGGCUUCACCGUGGAGCCAAGGAGCGGGUCGAGGAGCGGGUCGAGGAGCGGCUGUUCAGGCGGACCUCCCUCGGUUUCGGCAGUGCGGCGGGUGGUCAACCAGUGUCUUCUGUCGGUGACCCACCGGCGUGGGGCCUUGGUUGGUCGAGGGACCUACAAAAAAAUGUAAACAAUGCAAACUUUUCCUUCUUCCCCGCUGUAUGUUCGGGGGAAGAAGAAAGGUGAACAGUGUCGUUCAAAACGGCACCGUUCGGUCUUCUCUUUUUUUUUUUUUAUGUAUGAAACGGCGUCGUUUUGGAGAAAACGCGCCGUUUCAUUUAAAAAAAAGGCGCCAGAACAUUUGUUUUUGAAUCAGUCAUUAAUCAUCUUUGUUCAAUUCAAUUUCGUCCCUGCCAAUUUCGGUCCGUCCCCAUAGUUGGCCGCGUUUUUCACUUUGGUCCUUGGCCUCUGAUUUAUGCAAUUUAGCCCUCAAUUGAUCAAUAAACUUCUAAUUUCUUCAAUUAAGCCCCCUGAAUCAAUUCCAAACAGCCCCCUCUAUCUUUGCGCCUUUUUCAAAUUGGUCCCUGGUUUCGAAUUUUCACAAUUAAGUCCCUAAUUGGCCAUUAAACGUCAAUAUUUAUGCAAUUAAGCCCCUGAUUUGACCCAAUAAAUUCCUAAAAAUUAUAAUAUGGCCCCAGAACUUUAAUUUCUUCUAAUUAAAACCCAAAUUGACUUAAAAAUCAAUUUUUCUUGCAAUCAAAUCCCCUAUAAAUUCAAAUAAAAAUCCAAUUAAGUCCAUAAACAUCCAAAUUUGGGCUUUUCUCCUCAAAAUUCAAAUUUUCCUUCUCAAUAGGGCUCUCAUCCUUCAAGAAUAUAUUGUCAAAAAAUCCGCCUUUGCCUUUUUAAAUUCCUUGACCAAUUUUCUGAUCAUUUUUGAGCGCUUCUGCCUCCUGUUAUUUUUUCUAACCUCUUUUGGCUAUUUAUUUUAUUUUUUAUGGGGACCCAAAAAUGGGUUACAACAUCACGUAUUGGUUAAGUUAACCUGUAUUGAUUGGGGUUAUUGUUGCCUCUAUAUCUUUUAUUAUGUUAGGAAAAACUUAAUAUAACCGGCAAGGUAGUGCAAAACACCUACCUGGUCACUAUUAAAAAGAGAUUUAUAGCAGAAGACAAUGUUUGUUUUUGUGGUUGAACCACACUUUUAAAAAUUUUAAAAUUUAUUGUUUUUCUUUGAAUUGAUUUUAUUUUUAUGUUUUUAGAUCGUUUUAAUAUGUUGAUAUCAAAAAUAAAUUUUAAAAAAUAAAAAAAUAUAUUAUUUUAAUAUAUUUUUAAAAAAUAAUCACUACCACAACAACAAACAACAAACAUGAUAUAAUUACCAUCACCAAACACCUUCACUUUUACCAUUUCUCAAUAAUUACUUGCCAUUUCUUGCUCGCAUCCCGUGCUUUUAGUAUCCUUAAAGCUUUUCCACUUCUUCCUUUGUCAACAUCCAAUUCCUUUCCCUUAGAAAAACAAGCUAUGGGUGAUACAGUUUUUAUUAAUUUAUGAAUUAUAAGAUAUAAUGUGUAACUUUUAAAAAUAUAAAAAGUUAAAUAAAAACAUAAUUAAACUAUAAGAGAUUUUUAUAAUUAUUUCUAAAAAUUAACUUGGAAUGCUACCGGUAUCAUAGCAUGGAUCCACUUAUAAACUGCUAUGCUCAUUUGUUUAAAAGAGAAAAGAAAAGUAAAUUAUACUCGAAAUCAUAGUUAAUUUUGGCCUAUAAUAAAACAACUUGAGAUUCCAGGUAAAUUUACGUGUUAGGGUGUGCCUUUAUUUGUAGAAAUUCCUAUAAUCUAGUUGUGGAAAUUCCUCGUUUAAACACUAGUCUGUUUAAUAAUCUUUUCAAGGCUCAACUAUGUUACUAGAUUCAUUUGUUAAAUUAUGAAUUAUAUCAACUUCAAGUUUCCCUCGUCAGAUUUUGAUCCUUAAAUCCGUACUUAGAAGUUCAAGCAGGACCAUGUUACUCUCAUAGAAUUAUAACCGGUAAGGUACGUAGCCUAUAUUUUGUUAAAUUAUGGUAAAAAAAUAAAGAUAUAUAUAUAUAUAUAUAUAUAUAUAUAUAUAUGAAUUUUUAAUGUUUAAUCAUCAGAGUUUUGAUUCAUUCUUUUCUUUUAUAUCUUCUCUCUCCUAUUUUUUUUUUGUACCAUAUCAUCUGUUUUUUUAACUAUUAUAUUAUUUUUAUUUCUUUCAAAUACAUUUUGACUUUUGCAUAGAUAAGUUAUUUAAGAAAGCAAAAACUUCAAUAGAAAAGAAAAAUCAAGUUGACGAAUGUUGUCUUCAAAUCACAGGCGAGUUGCUUCUCAGAAACUUCAAUGCUUUAAUACAGACAGAGACAGGCAUGGCUAAUCAAGUCUGCACCGUGUGGAGCCUAAUCAGUAUAGUUAAAGAGACUGCAGUUUUAAUAUUUUGAUAAAAUUGAACCACCACAUUUAUUGGAGUGGUGUCGUUAUUAUUUUUUAUUUUUAUAUAAAUAUAUUAAAAUAAUAUAUAUUUUUUAUUUUUAAAAAAUUAUUUUUAAUACCAACAUAUAAAAUAAUUUAAAAUAUAAUUGAUGUAUUACGUUUCCACUAAAAUCAGUAAUAAAAAGAGAUCGAUAGCAGAAGUAAAAUCCCAUCACCAAACACUUUCAUCCUUUCCAUUUCUCAUCUCAUACCGCUCUUUCUUCUCAGUAUUUACUUCCCAUUUCGUGCUCACCUCCCCGCUUUUAGUUUCCGUGCACCUUCUCUACUUCUACUUCUCAACAUCCAAUUCCUUUCCCUCCGAAACAAGCUAUGGCUGACGCAGUUGUUUCUGCUGUAGCGAGUGCAAUCUUGGAGAAGUUGAGGUUGCUGGUUCUCAAAGAGGUUAGGUUUGCUCGGGGCCUAGACACCGAGCUUGAGCAUCUCGCAAGCACCCUCGCAAUGGUUCAAGCUGUGCUCCAGGACGCAGAGGAGAAGCAAUGGAAGAGCAAGGCUUUAGAGAUUUGGCUAAGACUCCUCAAGGAUGCAACUUAUGAUGUUGAUGAUGUGCUGGAUGAGUUUGAAAUUGAAGCUCAAAGGCAUCGGCUGCAAAGAGAUGCCAAAAACCGACUGAGAUCCUUCUUUACUCCUGGUCACGGUCCACUCCUUUUUCGAUUGAAAAAGGGGCAUAAAUUGAAAAAUGUGAGAGCAAAAUUGGAUGCCAUCGCCAAUAAGAAAAACAUGUUUGAUUUAACACCAAGAGCUGGAGAUAUAGCAGCUGAUAUCUAUGAUUGGAGGCUUACCAACUCACUCGUGAAUGAGUCAGAAAUUUGUGAAAGACGGAAGGAGAAAGAGGAACUACUCAACAUCCUGCUCUCUAAUGACGACGAUCUCCCUAUUUAUGCUAUAUGGGGAAUGGGGGGACUCGGGAAAACAACACUUGCUCAAUUGGUCUACAAUGAAGAAAGGGUUAUACAACAAUUCGGUUUGAGAAUCUGGGUGUGCGUGUCUACUGAUUUUGACUUAAGAAGAUUAACAAGAGCCAUCAUGGAGCCUAUUGACGGUGCCCCUUGUGAUCUUCAAGAAUUGGAUCCCUUGCUACAACGCCUCCUACAAAAGUUAACUGGAAAGAAGUUUUUGCUUGUGCUGGAUGAUGUGUGGGAAGAUUACACUGAUUGGUGGAGUCAAUUGAAGGAGGUAUUAAGGUGUGGAGCUAAAGGUAGUGCUGUAAUAGUAACUACGCGUGAUGAGCCGGUUGCUCGUAGAAUGGCAACAGCUUUAGUCCAGCCCAUGGGGGUAUUGUCUCAAGAAGAUUCCUGGCAUUUGUUUCAACGGCUUGCAUUUGGGAUGAGAAGGACAGAGGAGUGGGCACACCUGGAAGCCAUUGGAGUAUCAAUAGUGAAGAAGUGUGGUGGUGUUCCUUUAGCUAUAAAGGCACUCGGGAACCUAAUGCGGCGAAAAGAAAGUGAAGAUGAAUGGAAAAAAGUAAAAGAAAGUGAGAUUUGGGAUCUAAGAGAAGAAGCAAGCCAGAUCUUACCUGCUUUGAGGUUGAGUUACACUAAUCUAUCACCACAUUUGAAGCAAUGCUUUGCGUUUUGCGCUAUAUUUCCAAAAGAUCAGGUGAUGAUGAGGGAGGAGCUGAUUGCUUUAUGGAUGGCAAAUGGCUUUAUUUCGUGCAGAAAUGAAAUCGAUCUGCACAUUAUGGGUCUUGGGAUAUUCAAUGAACUAGUGGGAAGGACAUUUCUGCAAGAGGUCCAUGAUGAUGGAUUCGGCAACGUAACAUGUAAAAUGCAUGAUCUUAUGCAUGAUCUCGCACAAUCCAUUGCAAUACAAGAAUGCUAUAUGAGAACAGAAGGCGAUAGGGAGGUGGAAAUUCCUAAAACUGCAUGUAGCUUUUUAUAACAAAUCAGUAGCUUCGUCUUCUGAAGUUCUCAAGGUUCUAUCACUUCGCUCAUUUCUUUUGAGGAAUGAUCAUCUUUCGAAAGGAUGGGGACAGAUUCCUGGUCGAAAACAUCGAGCACUGAGUUUAAGAAAUGUCUGGGCCAAGAAAUUGCCAAAGUCAGUUUGUGAUUUGAAACAUCUAAGGUAUCUAGAUGUGUCAGGCUCCUGGUUCAAAACACUGCCUGAAAGUACAACCUCUCUCCAAAACCUCCAAACACUAGAUCUGAGAGGUUGCAGAAAACUCAUCCAAUUACCAAAAGGUAUGAAGCACAUGAAAAAUCUUGUCUAUCUUGACAUCACGGAUUGUGGUUCACUUCGAUUUAUGCCUGCUGGAAUGGGGCAAUUGAUAUGCCUGCGAAAACUUACCCUGUUCAUUGCGGGUGGGGAGAAAGGUCGUCGCAUAAGUGAGCUGGAAAGGCUGAAUAAUCUCGCUGGUGAACUGAGAAUCGUAGAUCUUGUGAAUGUUAAGAAUUUAAAAGAUGCCAAAAGUGCCAAUUUGAAGUUGAAGACAGCUAGCUCUUUUAUCACUGACUUUAUCUUGGCAUGAGAAUGGAUCUUACCCUUUUGACUCUCGGUCAUUUCCGCCAUCACAACGAAGAAAGAGUGUUAUUCAGAAAAAUAGCGAGGAGGUCCUUGAUGGGCUUCAACCUCCUUCAAAAUUGAAGAGGUUGAGGAUAUUGGGAUACAGAGGUUCAAGAUUUCCUAAUUGGAUGAUGAACUUGAACAUGACGCUACCAAAUCUGGUAGAGAUGGAGCUAUCAGCAUGUGCCAACUGUGAUCAACUUCCAUCAUUGGGGAACCUCCAGUUCCUCAAAAGUCUUAAAUUAUGGGGAUUGGUUGGUGUGAAGAGUAUUGACAGCAUUGUAUAUGGAGAUGGGGAAAAUCCAUUCCCAUCUUUGGAGACGCUGACUUUUGAGUGCAUGGAGGGAUUAAAGGAAUGGGCUGCAUGUACUUUUCCUUGCCUUCGAGAACUGAAGAUAGCUUAUUGCCCUGUGUUGAACGAGAUACCAAUUAUACCCUCCGUCAAAACAUUACACAUCGAGGGAGUGAAUGCUUCGUGGCUCAUGUCAGUUAGGAAUCUCACUUCUAUCACCUCCCUUUAUACAGGACAGAUUCCAAAAGUGAGGGAGCUUCCUGAUGGGUUUUUGCAAAAUCAUACCCUUCUUGAAAGCUUAGAAAUUGAUGGGAUGCCAGAUCUGAAGUCUUUGUCAAAUUGGGUAUUAGAUAACCUUACUGCUCUUAAAAGCUUGAAGAUUCAGUGGUGUUAUAAGCUUAAAAGCUUGCCAGAGGAAGGUCUUCGUAACCUCAAUUCCUUGGAGGUUUUAGACAUACAUGAUUGUGGAAGAUUAAAUUCUUUGUCAAUGAAUGGGUUAUGUGGCUUAUCUUCUCUUCGUAAGUUAUUUAUUAGAAAUUGUGAUAAAUUCACAUCUCUAUCUGAGGGAGUGCAACAUUUGACGGCACUUGAGGAUUUGUUGCUUCAUGGAUGUCUAGAGCUGAAUUCAUUGCCAGAGAAUAUCAAACAUCUCACUUCUCUCCGAUCUCUACAUAUACUGAACUGCAAGAGAUUAGCUUCUUUGCCAAAUCAAAUUGGACAUCUCACGUCUCUUGCACGCUUGACGAUUGGGGGUUGCCCUAAUUUGGUGUCUUUACCAGAUGGGGUGCAGAGUCUCAGCAACCUCAGCUCAUUGAUAAUUGAAAAUUGUCCAAAAUUAGAGAAGAGGUGUAAGAGAGGGAGAGGAGAGGACUGGCCUAAGAUAGCUCAUAUCCCUGAGAUUAUAAUAUACUAAAAAUGAAGGUAAUUUCUCCUAUAGCAGUAGUAAGCUCUCUUUCAAUUCAAUAUUUUAGAUACACACACAUAUCUGUGUUCUCUUAUGGUUAUUGGCUGAGGUUGCUUCAUGAAUAAUUGAUCUCAAUUAUAUUUUUACUUUCCUAUUGUAAUGCCUAAAGAUAACCUACAAUGUAGUAAUUGAAUCCUAAUAGAAAGGAAAGUCUGAAAUCCUGCUUGUAUAAAUAUACAUGAAGAGAUCAAUGAUAAUAUUACUCCAGCAGAUUCAAUUUCUCUGCCUCUCAAGUUUUACAUCGUUAAGUUAAUUUAUGGUUUCAUUUCUGCAUAGUAAAUCAGUACCUGUUGCUCGCACAUUCUUAUUUUAGUGUCAUGUUUGCGGCACCUCAUGAUUUUUUUUAUACAUUAGUCUUCCAUGAUUUUUCUAUAAAUUAAAGACCCGUGCACAAAAAAAAAAAAAAAAAAAAGGGGACAUAUUAAUUAAAACAGUUGGUCUCGCGCGUGAUCAAUGAAUUGAACAGAUAAUUUAGUAAUUUAAACCUCUUAAUUUCAGGUUAGUCUUCCAGUUAGACUUCUAAUAACAGUGUAAAAUGAUGAGGUAAUUUCAUUCUUCAAAAAUACAUAAAAAUCCACUCUCUCUUGCUUACUCUCUCUCUAGAUGGUGUGGGACAGUUCAUUCUCUGAUAUCAAGAAGAUUGGAAAGCGGCUGAUCAGCUAACCCGAAUAUAUAUUUAAUUCAAGCAUGUUUUAAGAACUCGUAUAUAAAGAUGAUAAUUUAAUUUAAAAUCGAUGAUAUUAACCUAACCCGAAUGUAUAUUUAAUUGAAAAUCAAUGAGUAUUGACCUAACCCUAACCCGAAUAUAUAUGCAUUUUUUAGACUUUAUUGACAAAUCAAGAACCAUUUCAGAUUCACUGCACAAACACAGCCAACCAUGUAUAAAAACAUUGCAAACAUCAAAAAGCACACCAUCAGCUAUAACCAACUCAAAUGAUUUAACAAAAUAUCAUGAAUUCAUGAUUCCUAAAUGCAACAGUAUAACAUUAAAACAUUCUAGAAAAACAUAACAAUUAACAGUACCUAAAACUAAACCUUUAAUUACAGAUGAAACACCACCAUAUAUAAACAUGGAAUGCAGCAUGCCACUUCAUAUUUCAGUAACAGUGGGACUCAAAUAAAAAAGUUUGUAAGCGCAUAAAAUAAGCUAAGGUAUAAUAUACAUAUGCAUUCCAUAUGUGAGCAUCACAUUUCUGUACACUUUUAUUAAUGAACCCGUGCCCACAAAAAUAUUCUCUUCCAUCCCUUCCCAAGCUCCCACUCCGCUUGAACAAAAUAGAAAGCUCCAAGAGAUAUGCACAUGUUUUUUCCAGAUUGCAUAAAAGCUCCUUCCGAAUCAUAAAUUCCGAGCAUUUCUUUUCUAAUGAAAAACUUUACUUCGAAGAAAAACUUUUAUACGAAUGCAGUUUCAGUAAAUCCCCAGCACAUCAGGUGAAUUCUUAAAUUUACACAAUCACCUUUAGUUAGUCUAACAGCUUUGUCUUUCUUCUAUUGUAGCUUAGAAAAAUAUUUCCAAAAAACUGCCCUCGAUCUAUAACGGACAAACAUCAAGUCAUCUUAUAUGCAGGGACUCUAUUCAAGAAGUUUGUAAUGAAGCCAACACACAUCAGGUGAGUUCUUGCAUUUACACAAGUUAAUUCUUGGUUAGUUUACCAGCUUUUUCUUUCUUUCUCAUGUACCUUCAAUUUAUAAUUAAGAAACAUCAAGUCAUCUUAAUUUAUAAUUAACAAACUAUAUUCAAGAAGUAUGUAUCACAAAACCCAAAUUGUGCAAUGGCAUGUGCUUGAAAAACAAAAACUAAGCUCUGACUUCAAGAUGGGGCAAAUACAGCCAUAAUCUGGACCUGCAGUCCUAACGAUCACCCAACUAAAAACGCUAUAUACAAUUGAAUAUUCUACCAAGUACAGACAUACACUGAUAUAUACAGUAUCUUUCAAACCUCAAAACCACACUAGACCAAUCAAAUUCAAACGGAUAGAAGAGCUAAACUUAUUGUAUUUCCAUGGAAAUAUAUUUUGAUCUUUCCCACAAUGAAAGCGGGUGACUUGCUUAUUUCUUGUAGAAUAUGACUCAUUUAUAUAUUAUAUGUAUAUUAAUUUAAAAAUUUAAAUUGUUAUGUAAAAUUUUAAAAUGUGAUUUAUAUCAUUUUUUAGUAUACAUUUUAUGUGAUUAAUUAAUUUUAAAUAUAAUAAAAAAUAAAAAUAAUAAUAUUCAAACUCGUGAUUGUUUAAGUAUCAAAGCUUUAAUAUAAUAUUAAAUAACUAUUUAAACAAAAUAAUUUAGACCAUUAAAUAAUUUUUUAAAAUAUUAUUUAUAUUAUUUUUUAAUAUUUUUCAGCCACACGAUCCAAAGCUCGUAAUAGGAACUGAUUUUAGUGUGCCACACAUUACCUAUCCAUGCUCUAAAGGUUCUAGCUGUAAGUUUCAUGCUUUACCCUGUUUUAAUGAGGAUAUAUUCUGAAUUUCAUUUUAGAAAAGCUAUUUUUUAUUUUUUAUUUUUUAUUUUUAUUUAAGAAAAGGUUAUAAUGUAAAACGUGAUGGAACUCCUAUUGGAUAAAAAAUAAUAUGAAAAAACUUCAUCCCUGACAGUAGACAUCUCUCAUUUGAGUCACACAUCCAUCCAUAUCAAUUUUUAUUUAAUAAAACUUUGUUAUUUUGGACAAUAUUUCUGUUAAAAAAAAAGAGAGUAUAUUUUAGAUAGUAAACCCAAUUAAAGAAUGCUGGGCACUUUAGUAACCUAAUUGAAAAGGAUAUUUAGUUUCAGGAUUUUAAAAGUGUUUAAAAUUAUGAUAGAGGAUGCUUUUUAAAAUAUUUUUUUAUUAAAAAAUAUAUUAAAAUAGUAUUUUUUUAUAUUAGAAAAUCAAAAUAAUAAAAAAAUACUAAAAAAUAUUCAAUUGAAGCUUUUAAAAUAAAUUUUAAAAAGUGUUGUUCAUCAAUUGAUAGGUGGUGAACUAAUUAAAGUUAAGGAAAUUCAAGUUCUGAAUCCCUUUAAUCUUAAAAUAAAAUAUAUUCUGGCUAUAAUAAAAUAAAAUAAAAUUCCUAGUCAAAUCUACCAUAGAAGAAGGCCUUCCAUGGAAAAGGACCACAGGCUUUGAUGGUGGCUCCAUUUUCUACCUUUUAAAAUUGCUCGGCCCAGCCCAACUAUCACCACCACCAUGUAACUAACUUAAUUUCGCGCCAAGCCUCAACAUCAACGGCCCCCCUAGUCUCAGUUCCCGCCGUCCAGUUCUCCACACCAAAUCUGUCCAAGGUCACUCGAUGUUCCCCUCAAUCUCUCAUGCACAUUCAUAUGCAUGGAUGGAAUUAGGUUUUAGGUCGCUGUAAUAGUUUAGUUUUCAGGCUGAAAUGUAAAAAAGACCGAUUUGAUUUCACUUUCAUGUAUUAGAAACUCAUUUGACUUGUUCAAGAAAUCGGAUUUGAGGUGGGUUUUAUACAAUUUUCCGAGAUUAACUUCUUUUUUUUGUGUGUUUCUGGUUUGUUAAUUGUGGUUGUUGAUGGAAGUAAUUGGUAAUGUAGUUUAUGUAUUUGUAGAAAGUCUCCAGUCAACACGUUCAUUGAUUGUUUCAAACUUGAGCAAAUCAUAUCCAUUGCUGACUGUUUGAUGGUUAACCACUAGUCUUGUUUAAUAAUUUUUUCAAGGAUUUUAAAUAAUCUCUUACUCUCUGCCUCUCUCAACUCUUUUUGAGCCUUCGAAUAGAAGAGUCUGCAUUCAUUUACUUGAGAUAUGUAUAGGCAUGGAAGCCCCAUUCAGCUGACAGAUAAUUGCCACUAUAGAGACCAUUACUCUAUUGAAACCCAUUUCGUUACCACAACGUGUCACCUGUUCCAUCUUAGUUCAUUGUUAUUUAAUUCUUAAAAAAAUGGAUAGAUAUGCGUCUUUAAUACAAGAUUGUAUUUAUAUACUAAAUUACAAUGAUCCGUCCGUGCUCGAUGCGAUAUUUCUGGUAUCAAUUAACAAAUAAGAUAUUGAGGAUUCUAGGCAAAUUGAAUUAUUAUUCCAAUAGACCCUAGAAAGUUUCAGGAUGUAAUAGUUGAUUUAGUGGCUAAUACUUGAUAGGGCAUAAUCACCGAUUUAGUUUUAGAAGUAGUGUUGAUUUUUCAGUCUUCUUCCUCUUCUUUUCCCUAGCUAACUUCCGUCUUCUAUUGCAAGGACUUUGGAAAUCAAUGUCAACUUUGAUGUUGAUAGCCCUGCUGCAAUGCCACAAACACCAGCCCCGCCGCAAUCAACUAGACCAUCUCGUUCUAUAAGAUGGCUAGGCACAAACUCUUCUGAUUAAGAAGACUCGCCAACCACUGCUGUGCAGCCUGCUCCUCCCACUAUAGGCAGCUGAUCACAGAUGGCUAGCAGGACUGCUGCUCUGACCAAGAUGAAUCGCAAUGCAACCAUUAGGAAUUGCUGAAUAUGAUGAAGAGGAAGAAGAUUCUGAGGUUACAUCAGGGGAAGAUUCGUAUGACUGUCCAUUAUGCUGAAUGAGCAUUUUACAGAUUUUCCUUGCAAAUAUCGUGCUUUCUCAACACUAUAAUCUGUUGUAUUCUUGUUGUCUUUGUUAAUGCUGGGUUUUGUAUGGAAGUUAGAUAGGUUCGGUAGCUCUUUUGUAGUGUUCAUUUUACUUUGGGGGAUGGACAUCCUGCCAGUAAAAUCACCUCUAAACUACUUGUGUGAAUCUUAAUUCAUCUAUGAGAUUGAAGUAAGUUCUCAUGAGUUUUCCAGGGUUGUACAUUUGCCCAAGCUUUUCAUUUCGGGGUCAAUUUAGGGGUUAUUUGUUUACGCAGCUGCAACUGCUUUUAAAGCAAACUGUGUACACAAUACGUUUGGUAACAAUAAAACACGAAUUACAGCAUACGUGGUACCCGUUAAAAACACUGGUUUGUGAAAAGCAGCUCUCGGCUGCUUCUCACGCGGCUGCGUCUAAUGCCCAGGUGAAUCAAUUCACCUGGGCACUUUUCACUACAAGUGAACAAUGCUAUUCACUUGGCACUGUUCAUAGUAAAAAAAAUUAUAUUUUUUUUAUGUGUUUUAUUCAAAAAAUUAGAAGGAAAUCGUUUAAUGACAUAACAAAAAAUUCAGUUUUUGUUGUUGCAUACUUAAAAAACCAUGGAAAAUAUAGUCCUUGUUUGGUAGAUUUCGUAUGAAAUUGUAUAUAGUUUAAUAGAAUAAUAAAAAAUAUUUAAUAUUAAUAUUAUUUAUUUCAUGAUGUAAUAACAGUAGUUAAAUCUAUAAUAUUUAAAUUAAAAGCCAUUAAUAUAUAUAUAUAUAUAUAUAUAUAUAAUCUCAAUUUGAAAAGUAUUUUUUUAACCAAACACAUUAAACUAUUUUUUGUUUAACCUCAAUUUCAACCAUAAUUUUAACUAAACAUAUAUUUUUUCAAAUCAAUCUCAAUUAAAAAUACUUUUUAUAAAAUAUUUUUUUUUCAAACUAUAACCACAAUCGCUAUUACAAUACCAAACAUACUUUUAAUUAUAGGCUAGUUAUAUUUCUAUGUACAUAGGGCCAUGACAGUUCAAGGGAUCGUGGGCUGAACUUUUGGAUGUUGCAUUAUCACUUUGGGUUUUUCUUUUGAUUGUACAAGAAAUUUGAAAGAACAAUCCAUAUGUUGCAUUAUCACUUUGGGUUUUUCUUUUGAUUGUACAACAAUGAACAAAGAGAUAUUUGAAACCACAAUCCAUAUGUUGCAAGCAGAAGUCACAGCUCACACCCACAAGGACAAGUUAAAGGUAGAUAGAUAGGCUUGUAGCCGGAAUCCGGGAAGUUCCUACACAGCAAUGAAACCAAGCCUUAUUCUCCUACUAAUAACUCGCUUAGAAACCCCCCUCCUCCGGGAAGUUCCUACAUCUCACACGGGCAAACUUGCACCACAGUUUUGAAACCAAGCAUAGGAUGAAACGAAGAACGAAAGAGUCAUAAAAAAAUGCACCACAGUUUUGAUCAGAUCUUUUGCGAUCUUUGGAUAUAAAAGUGAAGGGUACAUUGCCUCUUGGUUGCAUAAUUUCUUAAUGGAGAGGCACCUAGAGGACGUUCUUGACUUUGGGGAGUAUACAAAAGCAAACCCACAAUCUUAUCUUUUCUUCAGUCUUUUAUCUUUUCUUGAUUUGUCAAGUCUACAACGUGUGAAGCCUACGCGGAUUGGCCAGUGCGGGACAAAGACAUUUACUAACCGACAAGCUAAUUCAAGUUGAUGAAUGUUGUCUUCAAAUCAUAGCCAUGUUACUUCUCUGAAACUUCAAUAGCUUUAAUAUAGGCAUAGCUAGUCGAGUCUGCACCGUGUAGAGCCCAAUCAAUAUAUAGUUAGAGGACUGCAGUUUUAAUAUUUUAAUAUAAUUAAAACCACCACAUUAUUUACAAUUACAUUACCAAAAGAAAAACGAUUAAAAGCUAGCAGUAAAACACUCUGGUGCAAGAAACGUUUACACUUUUAGUAUUCUAAAAAAACUAGCAAGUUUCUUCUAAUCGGGUAAAAUCAACUUUUCAACUGAUCAAUUAUGCAUUACAAAAUCGAGUGGUAACAAAUUAGUCCAUACACUUUUUUUUUCCAUGGUGAAAUGAGUUUAUUGUUGAGUUUUCCAAAUAAAAUAUACACGUGGCAAUAAAAACAAUAAAACAAAAUUAUUUAGAAGUCUCUAGUAUCUCAUUAGAUAAAUAUAAAAUUGUUUAGGAAUUUAUUACCUAAAGAUAUGAUCUUCUUUAACUUUAAAUAAUUCUUUAAAGGUUGAGUUAUCACAAACUAUAAAUUAUACAACUAUCUAGCAUCCAACGGUAAUCUACACGAACCACCAGUAAGAAAUCUUUUAAAUCCCUAAUUAGAAGAGAAAUUGUUAUACUUAGAUUGUUAUCUCUAAUUUUGUAUUUAUAUAGUUUUUAUGUUUAAUUGACAAUCUAAUAAAAAAAUAAAAUGCAUAACUUGCUAUCCAUAUAUUAAUUCAAGAAAAAUUUAGAAAUUAACUCAAUCAAGUACUUAUUUGAUUUUUCUAGGUCUAAAAAUAUAAUACUUGUAUUUAUUAUAUUUUAGUCGUUAACUUCUAAAAUAUAUUUUAAUCAAGCCGUACUCAUCCCAGUUUAAUUUCUACCUAAAAGUUUUUAAUAUGUAUGACCUAUUAAGUUCUUAAUAUGUUGGCCCAAAUAUAAAUUAUAAUUAUAAUUAAAUAGAAUUAAUUAAAUUAAACAAUUUAAUUUAUUAUCAAUUCAAUAAUUGAUUAAUUUAUAUUUGAAUACAAUGUGCAUCGUCUAUCAACGUGUCUUGAUCUUCUAAAUAUUUAAAAAAUCAUUAGUGGUUUGACUUAACCUUCCAGUGAUCAAUUUCUCAGUGUAAUUAAUAUACUUUCAUUAAUAAUGUUUUGAUUUAACAUUAAAGUAUGGGGUAUAUCUGCCAUGUUAAAUCAUGUUUAUUCUCUAUAUAAUAGUCAUUGAUCAUUUAAAUAAUAUUUGUAACUCUUUUUAAUCUCAUUCCUUCUUGGUUAUCAAUUUCUCAGUCAAUACUAUUUAAGAAUAGAUAAACUAUUUUUUUAAUUCACUUAGGAUGAUGAAUCUUCUUUUUAUCACUCAAGUAUUUUUAUUAUUAUUAUUUCUUAAGAAUAGUGAAGAGACAGAAUUUUUCCUUAAUAAAAAUAAUAUAAGUAUGGUUCCAGGGGGGUUUUUGUAUUUUUCUUAAUUUUUUAAAGUUGAGCCAGGGGUUGUUUUGUAAUUUUAGGAAAAUAAAUAUUAUAAAAAAAACUGUUGACGUGUGCAAAUCAUGUGUUAGCGCAUGCAGAGCCGUUCGAUGACCAAAAUCAGUCAUCUACAACAAUGUUUGGAGGGGAGCGUUGUCCUCUUUGCAUUGGCGAGGUGUGUGUUCACGGUAAAGGUGCAGUUGGGUUCCAAUGAGCUUUUUUUAUUAUUAUUUUCUUAUCUCUUCUCUUUCUUUUAGCUUAAAAAUUCAUGUGUCCUUCCAAAAUUUGAUUGUGUCCUCUAGUUUCUAUUUCUAUCAAUUUUAAUUCUCAUUCUUUUGAUUACUAUUUGUUUUUCAUUUAAUACUUUUUGAACUUUUUUUAAAAAAAAAUCAGACAUUUUGUUUCAUUUAGUUUUUGUAUCCAAUUUAGUUCUCAUUCUUUUGAUUUUAUUUUUUUUGUGUUUUACUAUUUUCUUUAUUUGUUUUUAUUUUAUUUUUUCCUUCAUCAUUUUAUUCCCUUUAAUUGUUUUUAUUCAAGUUUGAUCCUCAUUCUUUUGAUCUAUGUAUUCUUAUUAUUUUCUUGAUUUUUUUUUAACCCUCAACAUUUUAUUUCAUUUAAUUUCUUUAUCAAUAAUGAUUCCCAUUCUUUUUAUUGCUAUUUUUAUUUUAUUUUGUCUUUUUCAAUUUAAUCUCGAAUUAUUUUUUUUCAUUUGGUUUUUAUACCAUAUUUGAUCCUUAAUAUUUUGAUUACUAUUUGUUUUUUUAAAAAAAAAAAAAAUUAUGAUUGGAAAUUUUACUUCGUGAUUUUUAUUUGUGUUUACCAUUCCGCACGAUAAUCAUAUUCUCAUUAUCUAGAUCAUUGCUUUCGAAUAUUAGCCCAAUUUAAGUUAGGUCUUUUUUUUAUCCUUCACUAAUUUUUUUAUAAUUUUAUCAUUUGACUUUGGGUUAUUGAAGCUUGAGCUUUGUUAUUUGUUCAACUUUUAUUUUUUUGAGUUUAUCACGAUCUAAUAUCUUGGACGGAAGGUUAAUCGAGUUAACUCGAGUUGACUCAAUGUGUUUUUUUCUCAAAUUUUUUUUAAGAAUUUUUUUUUUUAUAUUAUUGACCUUGAGCUUUAUGAUUCUUUCACUUUUUUUAUGUGGGGUCAUUCUGAGUGGAGGUUAGUCAAGUUAACUUAGGUUUUUUCUGACGUUUCUUUUAUUUAACUUUAGUCUUUUAUUCUAGGUCCUUUUAAAAAUAUAUAUAAUUUUUUUUAUCCUGAUCUCAUAUUAUGGAUGAUAAGUUGGUCAAGUUAACCUAAGUUGACUCGGUUUUGUUUUUUGAUGUUACUUUUUCUUAAACUUGAUUUUUUUUUAAUUUUAUCAUUUGACAAUAGGUUAUUAGGCUUUGAGCUUUGUUAUGCUUUUUUUUUUUUACUUUCUUUUCUUCAAGGUAAUCUCGAUCUCAUAUUCUAUGUCACAUAUUGGUUAAGUUAACCUGUAUUGAUUAGGGUUAUCAUCGGCUGCACAUCUUUUAUUAUGUUAGGAAUAACUUCACCAAACCCGCAACGUAGAGCAAAACACCUACCUAUUCACUAUUAAAAAGAGAUUUAUAGUAUAAGUCUCUUUUUAAUAGUGAAUAAAAAGAGAUUUAUAGUAUAAGUAAGAUAAUGUUUGUUUUUACACUUGAGGGCAUAGCUACUGUGGUAAACUGCAAGGCUUGUCUUUGCGAACGUCCCGGGUUCGACCCUCUCUGUGUACCCUGUCACCCCCGCGGUGUCUUACCUGCUCACUGGGCUUGCAAGAUGUUCAGUGGACCUCGGGGAUUAGUUGUGGUGCGCGCAAGCUGGCCCGGACACCCCGAGUUACAAAAAAAAGAGAAGAUAAUGUUUGUUAUUGUGGUUGGACCGCACUUUUUAAAAAAAUUAAUUUUUUUCUUUUAAUUUCAAUUAAUAUUUUUAUAUUUUUAAAUUGUUUUAAUAUAUCUAUAUCAAAAAUAAAAUUUAAUAAAUAAUAAUAAAAUAUUAUUUUAAUAUAUUUUCAAAUAAUAUUUAUUUUAAAAAAUAAUAUUUGAAAAUAACAAUAUUGUAUAAUUACCAUCACCAUACACUUUCACCUUUUACAUUUCUCAAUAAUUACUUGCCAUUUCUUGCUCGCAUCCCGUGCUCUUAGCUAUCCUUGAAACUUUUCCACUUCUUUCUUUGUCAACAUCCAGUUCCUUUGCCUUAGAAAACAAGCUUUGGCUGAAACAUUUUUUUUAUUAAUUUAUGAAUCAUAACAUAUAAAGUGUAAUUUUUAAAAAUAUAAAGGUAAAAUAAAAACAUAAUUAAACUAUAAGAUAUUUUUAUAAUUAUUUCUAAGAAUUAACUGCUAUGGAUGCACUUUGAAACUGCUAUGCUCAUUUGGAAAAAAAGAAAAGAAAAGUAAAUUAUACUCAAAAUCAUAGUUAAUUCUGGCCUAUAAUAAAACAAAUUGAGACUCCAAGUAAAUUUAUGUGUUUGGGUGUGCCUAUAUUUGUAGAAAUUCAUAUAAUCUACUUGUAGAAACUCCUCGUUUAAACACUAGUGUGUAUAAUAAUUUUUUCAAGGCUCAACUAUGUUACUAGCUAGAUUCAUUUGUUAAAUUAUGAAUUAUAUCAACUUCAAGUUUCCCUCGUCAGAUUCUGAUCCUUAAUCUAUGUUUAGAAGUUCAAUCAGGACCAUGUUAUUUGUGAGAAGUCCUCAUAAAACCCAUUUUAUUAUGGUUAGAAAAGGAUAGAAUAGAAGUGUUUCAAGCAGAUAGUGUUGAGGCAAUUUCUUCCUUUCUCUGUCAGUUUAAUCAUAGGCUCGUUAUAUUUCCCUGCACAGAGGGUCAUAUCAGCGCAAGGGAUCGUGGGCUAAACUUUUGGAUGUUGCAUUAUCACUUUGGAUUUUUCGUUUGAUGGUACAACAGAGAACAAAGAGAAAUUUGAGAGUUUUUUUAUACACGCAGUAGACAAAAAUAUUUCACAAAUUAGCACAGUAGUGGAUAAGUACGUUAGCAUAUGAGCAACUAGGCAUGUUUGUGUUUUUCUUGUUGAAUUCAUUUUCAAUGGUAUUUAAAGUUUUAUAAUCAGAAUUAUUUGAGAAAGUAAUUAUUCUUUAUAAAAAUACAUUUUGACUUUUGCAUAGAUAAAUUAUUUGAGAAAGCAAAAACUUCAAUUGAAAAGAAAAAUCAAGGUGGAAUGUUGUCUUCGAAUCACAACCGUGUUGGUUCUUAGAAACUUCAAUAGCUUUAAUACAGGCAUGGCUGGUCAAGUCCGCACCGUGUGGAGCCUAAUGUAAUUCUUCAAAAUUUAAGAGUGUAGAGCCACGCGGGUUGGCAAGCGCGGGAAGAAGACGUUUAGUAACCAACAAGGAAAUUCAAGUUGACAGAUGUUGUCUUCAAAUCACAGGCGUGUUGCUUCUCAGAAACUUCAAUGCUUUAAUAUUUUGAAAAAAUUGAACCACCACUCUAAAAUCACAAAUAUUUGAAAAUAUAAUAACUAUUAAUAACUUUUCUUCCUUUCCCUAUUCAUGUCCAAGAUAGACUAAUAUUUGAUUAUUCCAGAGAGUGAGCAAUUAUUUGGUCCUUCUGCACUUCUCUUUUCCAUAACCAAUCUUGCAUUAUCAUUUGACAGAUUUCGUCUUCCUGUCACAGCCAUGUUCCUUCUCUGAAUCUUCAAUUGCUUUAUUAUAGCCAUAGCUAGUCAAGCUCCACCGUGUGGAGCCUAAUCAAUUUAUUCACAGAAUAGCACAGGUAAAGCCCAUCACCAAACACUUUCACCUUUUCCGUUUCUCAUCUCAAACUGCUCUGUCUUCUCAAUAUUUACUUACUAUUUCUUGCUCACAUCCCCUUCUUUUAGUUAUCCUUACAGCUUUUCUACGUCUUCUUGUCAACAUACAAUUCAUUUCCAUUCGAAACCAAGCUAUGGCUGAUGCAAUUCUUUCUGCUCUCGCGAGUACAAUCAUGGGAACUUGAAUUCCCCAAUUCUUCAAGAGCUUGGAUUGCUGGGGGCCUAACGACAGAGCUUGAAAAUCUCAAGCGCACGUUCAGAACCAUUCAAGCUGUGCUGCAAGAUGCAGAUGAGAAGCAGUGGAAGAGUGAGCCUAUCAAGGUGUGGCUCAGCGACCUCAAGGAUGCAGCUUAUGCUGUUGAUGAUGUACUGGAUGAGUUUGCAAUUGAAGCUCAGUGGCUUCUGCAGCGAAGAGAUCUCAAAAACCGAGUAAGAUCCUUCUUUUCUUUUGGUCAUAAUCCACUAGUUUUUCGACAAAGGAUGGCUCAUAAAUUGAAGAUUGCUAGAGAAAAACUAGAUGCCAUUGCCAAGGAGAGACAAAAUUUCCACCUAACAGAGGGGGGUGUGGAGAUGCAAGCAGAUAGUUUUGUUCAGCGUCAGACUUGGUCUUCGGUGAAUGAAUCAGAAAUUUGCGGAAGAGGCAAGGAGAAAGAAGAACUAGUCAGCAUCCUGCUCGAUAAUGCAGACAAUCUCCCUAUUUAUGCUAUAUGGGGGAUGGGGGGGCUGGGUAAAACAACACUUGUUCAACUGGUCUACAAUGAACAAAGGGUUAAACAACAAUUCGGUUUGAGGAUCUGGGUGUGUGUAUCUACUGAUUUCAAUCUCGGAAGAUUAACAAGAGCCAUCAUAGAGUCCAUUGAUGGUGCCUCAUGUGAUCUUCAAGAAUUGGAUCCCUUGCAACAACGCCUCCAACAAAAGUUAACUGGAAAGAAGUUUUUGCUUGUACUGGAUGAUGUGUGGGAUGAUUGUAUGAUUGGUGGAGUAAAUUGAAGGAGGUAUUAAGGUGUGGAGCUAAAGGUAGUGCUGUCAUAGUAACUACGCGUAUUGAGAUGGUUGCUCGUAAAUGGCAACAGCUUUUGUCAGCACAUGGGGAGAUUGUCUGAAGAAGAUUCUUGGCAUUGUUUCAACAGCUUGCAUUCGGGAUGAGAAGGAAAGAGGAGCGGGCACACCUGGAAGCCAUUGGAGUAUCAAUAGUGAAGAAGUGUGGUGGUGUUCCUUUAGCUAUAAAGGCACUCGGGAACCUAAUGCGGCUAAAAGAUAAUGAAGAUCAGUGGAUAGCUGUCAAAGAAAGUGAGAUUUGGGAUCUAAGAGAAGAAGCAAGCAAGAUCUUACCUGCUUUGAGGUUGAGUUACACUAAUCUAUCACCACAUUUGAAGCAAUGCUUUGCGUAUUGCGCUAUAUUGCCAAAAGAUCACGUGAUGAGGAGGGAGGAGCUGGUUGCUUUGUGGAUGGCAAAUGGCUUUAUUUCUUGCAGAAGAGAAAUGGAUUUGCACGUCAUGGGCAUUGAGAUAUUCAAUGAACUAGUGGGAAGGUCAUUUCUGCAAGAGGUCGAGGAUGAUGGAUUUGGCAACAUAACAUGUAAAAUGCAUGACCUUAUGCAUGAUCUCGCACAAUCCAUUGCAGGACAAGAAUGCUAUAUGAGUACCAAAGGCGAUGGGAAGUUGGAAAUUCCUAAAACUGCCCGUCAUGUUGCUUUUUAUAACAAAUAUGUAGCUUCGUCUUCUGAAGUUCUCAAGGUCCUAUCACUUCGCUCACUUCUUUUGAGGUAUGGGUAUGGAGGGGGAAAGAUUCCUGGUCGAAAACAUCGAGCCUUGAGUUUAAGAUAUAUCUGGGCCAAGAAAUUGCCGAAGUCAAUUUGUGAUUUGAAACAUCUAAGGUAUCUAGAUGUGUCAGGCUCCAGCAAUAUCAAAACACUGCCUGAAAGUAUAACCUCACUCCAAAACCUCCAGACACUAGAUCUGAGAGAUUGCUAUAAACUCAUCCAAUUACCAAAAGGUAUGAAGCACAUGAAAAGUCUUGUCUAUGUUGACAUCACGGGUUGUUAUUCACUUCGAUUUAUGCCUUGUGGAAUGGGGCAAUUGAUAUGCCUGCGAAAACUUCCCUUGUUCAUUGUGGGCUGGGAGAAUGGUCGUUGCAUAAGUGAGCUGGAAGGGCUGAAUAAUCUUGCUGGUGAAUUGAGUAUCAAAAAUCUUGUGAAUGUUAAGAAUUUAAAAGAUGCCAAAAGUGCCAAUUUGAAGUUGAAGACAACUCUUUUAUCACUGACUUUAUCUUGGCUUGGUAAUGGGUCAUUUGUGCCACGGCAACAAAGAAAGAGUGUUAUUCAGGUAAAUAACGAGGAGGUCCUUGAAGGGCUUCAACCUCAUUCAAAUCUGAAGAAGUUGAGGAUAUGUGGAUAUGGAGGUUCAAGAUUUCCUAAUUGGAUGAUGAACUUGAACAUGACGCUACCAAAUCUGGUAGAGAUGGAGCUAUCAUUAGCAUGUGACCACUGUGAACAACUUCCACCAUUGGGAAAACUACAGUUCCUCAAGAGUCUUGUAUUGUGUGGAAUAGAUGGUGUGAAGAGUAUUGACAGCAAUGUGUAUGGAGAUGGGCAAAAUCCAUUCCCAUCUUUGGAGACGCUGACUUUUCAGCACAUGGAGGGAUUAGAGCAAUGGGCUGCGUGUACUUUUCCUCGCCUUCGAGAAUUGAAGAUAGAAUAUUGCCCUGUGUUGAACGAAAUACCAAUUAUACCCUCCAUCAAAUCAGUACACAUCUGGGGAGGUAAUGCUUCGUUGCUGAUGUCAGUUAGGAAUCUCACUUCCAUCACUUCUCUUCAUAUUGAAGGGAUUAACGAUGUGAGGGAGCUUCCCGAUGGGUUUUUGCAAAAUCAGACCCUCCUUGAAAGCUUAGACAUUUGGUGUAUGCGAGAUCUGGAGUCUUUGUCAAAUAGGGUAUUAGAUAACCUUUCUGCUCUUAAAAGCUUGAUUAUUUGGGGUUGCGGGAAAUUUGAAAGCUUGCCAGAGGAAGGUCUUCGUAACCUCAAUUCCUUGGAGGUUUUAGAGAUACAGUUUUGUGGAAGAUUAAAUUGUCUGCCAAUGAAUGGGUUGUGUGGCUUAUCUUCUCUUCGCAAGUUAUUUGUUAUAGAAUGUGAUAAAUUCACAUCUCUAUCGGAGGGAGUGCGGCAUCUGACGGCACUUGAGGAUCUGUACCUUAAUGGAUGUCCAGAGUUGAAUUCAUUGCCAGAAAGUAUCCAACAUCUCACUUCUCUCCGAUCUCUAAAAAUAGGGAACUUCAAGGGAUUAGCUUCUUUGCCAGAUAAGAUUGGAUAUCUCACUUCUCUCCAAUCUCUAAGUAUAUGGAACUGCAAGGGAUUAGCUUCUUUGCCAGAUCAGAUUGGAUAUCUCACUUCUCUCCAAUCUCUAAGUAUAUGGAACUGCAAGGGAUUAGCUUCUUUGCCAGAUCAGAUUGGAUAUCUCACUUCUCUCCAAUCUCUAAGAAUAGAGAACUGCAAGGGAUUAGCUUCUUUGCCAGAUCAGAUUGGAUAUCUCACUUCUCUCCAAUCUCUAUGUAUAGAGAACUGCAAGGGAUUAGCUUCUUUGCCAGAUCAGAUUGGAUAUCUCACUUCUCUCCAAUCUCUAUACAUUCGAGGUUGUCCAAAUUUAAAGAAUAGGUGUAAGAAAGAUUUAGGAGAGGACUGGCCCAAGAUAGCUCACAUCCCUAAGAUUAGUAUCAGUUAAAAUUGAUAUGCAAAAUUUGUAAUGAAAAAUAUUCGCUCGAUUGCCUUUUAUCCAUUUUAUUUUAUUUUGAUAAAAGCGAUCUUCUCAAGUAAAACUUUUUAAACUUAAAUUAAAUAUACAUUGAUCGCACCAUAAAAAUACACAUCGAUUUUGUCCUUUUAAUAAUAUUUUUAUAUUAAUUUAGAAAUUUUUUAAAAAUAAUUAACUUAAUCAAGUUCUUAUUUAAUUUUUCGAGAUUUAGAAAAAUAAUCUUUGUAUUAAUUAUAUUGUAGUCGUUAAUUUUUAAAAUAUAUUUUAAUCAAGUCAUACUUAAUUAAUCAUUCCAGUUUAAUUUCUACCUAAAGAUUUUUAAUGUGUGUUACUAUUAAGUUUCUAAAAUGUUGGUUCAAAUAUAAAUUAUAAUUAAAUAAAAAUAAAUUAAUUAAAUAAUUUAUUUUAUUAUCAAUUCAAAUAAUUAAUUAAUUUAUAUUUGAAAACAAGGUGUAUCAUCUAUUAACAUGUCUUGAUUUUUUAAAUAUUAUAAAAAUCAUUAGUGGUUUGAUUUAACUUUUUAGUGACAAGUUUCUCAGUGUAAUUAAUGUCAUUUCAUCAAUAAUAUUUUGAUUUAACAUUAAAGCAUGGAGUAUGUUUGUCAUGUUAAAUCAUGUUUAUUCUCUACAUAAUAGUCAUUGAUUGUUAAGAUAAGAUUUAGAACUAUUUUCAAAUUUCAUUCUACCUUAAUUAAGAAUUUCUUAUUUAAUACUAUUUGAGAACAAAUAAAAUAUAUAUAUUUUUAAUUCAUCUUGGGUGAUGAAUCCUCUCUUUACAACUUAAGUAUCAUUUUAUUUUAAUUUUAAGAAUAGUGAAGUGACAUAAUUGUCUUUAAAAUAAAAAUAUAUAUAAAUAUGGUUCCAAAGGGGGGUUUUGUUAUUUUUGUUAUAUAUUUUUUAUAUUUUUAGGUUGACCUAAUGGCUGUUUGGUAAUUUUAAAAAAUAAAUACUAUAAAAAAACUGUUGACAUGUGCAACUCACGUGUUAGCACAUGCAAGGUCGUUUGGUGACCAAAAUCAGUCAUCUAUUAUGAUGUUUGGAGUGGCGCAUUGUUCGCUCCAUAUUGGCGAGAUGCGUGUUAACGAUAGAGGUGUGAUUGGGCUCUAAUGAGUUGUUUCUUUUCUUUUCUUCUCUGUUUUUUUUCUCUUAACUUAGAAAUUCAUGUCAACCCUUUCAAAAAUUGAUUAUGUCCUCUAGUUUCUAUUUUUAUUAAUUUUAGUUCUCAUUUUUUUUAUUGUUAUUUUUUAAUUUUUUCUUAUUUUAUUUUAUUUUUCAAUUUAAUCCCUAAUUAUUAUUUUUAUUUGGAUUUUAUACCAUAUUUGAUCCUUAUUAUUUUGAUUACUAUUGUUUUGUUUUAAAAAAAAUUUAUGAUUGGAAAUUUUACUUCAUUAGUUUUUUUUGUGUUUACUUUUCUGCACGGUAAUCAUAUUCUCAUUAUCUUGAUCAUUAGUUUUGAAUAUUAGCCCAAUUUAAGUUAGGUCCUUUUUUUUUAUCCUUUACUAAUUGUUUUUUUCAAUUUCAUCAUUUGACAUUGGGUUAUUGGAGCUUGAGCUUUGUUAUAUGUUCAACUUUUAUUUUUUUUGAGUUUAUAUCGAUCUUCUAUCUUGGGUGAAAGGUUAGUCAAGUUAACCUAAGUUGACUAAAUGUUUUUUUCCUUGAAUUAUUUUUAAGAAAUUGUUUUUUUUUUUGUUAUUGACCCUUGAGCUUUGUGAUUCUUUCACAUUUUUUAUGUGGGGUCAUCCUAAGUGCAGGUUAGUCAAGUUAACUUGGGUUUUAUCUGAUGUUUCUUUUAUUUAACUUUAGUAUUUUAUUCUAGGUCCUUUUCAAAAAUAUAUAUAAUUUUUUUUUAUCCUGAUCUCAUAUUAUGAAUGGUAGGUUGGUCAAGUUAACCUAACUUGACCUAAGUUUUUUUUUUUCGAUGUUACUUUUUUUUAAAAUUGAUUUAAAAUUUUUUUUUUUCAUUUGACAUUAGGUCAUUAGGCUUUGAGCUUUGUUAUGUUUUUUUUUUUUGUGAUUUUUUUUUCUUCAAGGUAAUCUUGAUCUCAUAUCAUGUGUUGCAUGUAUAGUCAAGUUAACCCGCGUUGAUUGGGGUUAUUAUUUCUUAGACAUCUUUUAUUGCAUGAGAAAAAAACUUAACCACACCCGCAACGUAGCGCCAAACACCUACCUAUUCACUAUUAAAAAGAUAUUUAUAGCAUAAGUAAAGACGUGUGUUUUUAUGGUUAGACUAUACUUUUUACAAAAUUUAAAUUUUUUCUUUUGCUUUCAAUUAAAUUUUUUAAGCUUUUGAAUUGUUUUAAUAUUUUUAUAUCAAAAAUAAAUUCUAGAAAAUAAAAUUAUUUUAAUGUAUUUAAAAAAUUAUUCUCUGUUAAGAAACAUUGUAUAAUUACCAUCACCAAACACUUAUGAAUGGCAGGGUGUGCCUAUAUUUGUAGAAAUUCAUAUAAUCUAGUUGUAGAAACUCAUCGUUUAAACACUUUUCUGUUUAAUAAUCUUUUCAAGCCUCAACUAUGUUACUAGAUUCAUUUGUUAAAUUGUGAAUUAUAUCAAGUUCAAGUUUCCCUCUUGUCAGAUUUUGAUCUUUAAUCUAUGUUUAGAAGUUCAAUCAGGACCAUGUUAUUCAUAGAAUUACCGGUAAGGUACGUAGCCUAUAUUUGUGAGAAGUCCUCGGAAUACCCAUUUUAUUAUAGUUUAUGUUGUACGUGUGCAGUGUCGCGGCGAUCAUCCUCUCUCAAGUUUAUGUAUUUAUCUAGUAAAUGUGGAGAGACAAGAAAUUCUUAUCUUUUAUCCAUGAAAAGCGUGAAUGAGAGUCGUCACUUAGUAUUUUGGUCACUAGAAACCCUAACUGGUCUCAGAGAUUGGACACGAGAACUGGUUGCAUAAAUGAAGUGUAUUAGCACCCAAAUAUGUCAUACCUAAGGUAAGAUGUAUUGUUUAAUUGUCUGAUAAAAACUAAGAACUUGUCGUGUUUUUUAAUUGUUGGUUCGUCUAUGAUUUAAGAAAAGUUUUUAUCGGUGAGGAGAUCUUUAUCUCAUUAGGUAAAAACUAACCGUUCUAACAUCAAUAAAAAAUUUAAUAUCCAGAAUAUGUCACUACUAAAAAAUGUAGUGAUUAGUAACGGACUGGUCCGUUGCAAAUAAUACUAAAAUUCGUUGCUAAAACUAUUUAGCAACGAAAUCAGCAACGACAAAUAUCGGAUGCAGAUUUGCCGUUGCUGAUUUUUUAGCAACGAAUUUAUCCGUUGCUUACAAUUAGCAACGGAUAAUCCGAUGCUAACAGACAGCAAUGGAUAUUCCGUUGCAAUUUUAGUAACGGAUAUUCCGCUGCUAAUUCAUUAAAUGUGUAAAAAUAAUUGAUUCAUGAUUUUUUUUAUUUGGUUAAAACUGGUUUUAUGAUUGUUAUAAGUUUUUUUCCCUUAAAAAACAAUACUUCCCAUAAACUAAAUUAUAUAUAAAAAAUAUGAAUAAGAAAAUUAGAUUUUUUUUAUAGAAUAAGUUUUCUAUUACUUUAAAUGACUUCAUCAACUUUGCAAUUAAACACAUACUUAAAAGACCAAUAUUGACUUUAUUAUAAUAAAAGUGGAUGUAUCAUUGAAGUUCCCGUGCUAUUAAAAAAUAUUCGCUCGAUUACAAACAAUACAAUUUAUUACAAAACAUGGAGACGGCAAUUUGAGAGCAUCAAUACAAACAAUAAAUUUAUUACAAAACAAUGGAGGCUUCAACUUAGCACGGCUAGAGCAUACAGACAACUUGAGUAAUAAUUCAAGAAUAUUGUCAUUUAACAAAAGCUUUAAAAUGUUUUAUGAAAUGAAGAUCAACUUAACAAAAGUUUCAAAUAUAAAAUGAUGAUUGUUCACAAUAUCACUUGUGAGAUAUACAUAAAAAAUAUAAAAAAAUUCACAUUAAACUAGCUUUAAUGAAACUAUUUUUUUUAUAACAAACAAUUAAUUUAUUAAUAAAACAACCUUUCGGAUAAUAACCGAGAGAAAUAUAAUGAAUUUUAAAAAAUUAAAAAAAAAAAUAUAUAUAUAUACACACACUAACCAACAAGCAAAGUCAAGUUGAUGAAUGUUGUCUUCAAAUCAUACCCAUGUUGCUUCUCUGAAAGUUAGCUAGUCAAGUAUGUAGCUAGUCAAAUCUUACUGUUCUUAAAAUUAAAUAAAAAGAUAUUUAAAUGGUAAAGAGAGGAUUCAUCACCCUAGAUGAAUAAAAAAAUAUAUAUAAAAAUAAAAAAAAAUAACCCCCCCCCCUCCAUAUCCUCACAUUAUUGUUUUGCUUUUGCAUGACUAAAGAUUUUUCCUUUUACUGUUGGAUGGGGUCAAAGAUGGUUGCCCAGCAGUGGAGAAUGCAACACCAUCAAAUUCUUUCCAGCAUUCAUGAGCCUUACUUUGGAGCUUAUUGGGCGCUAUGUUCUGCCUGAUAGAUUUGUUUGCCGAUAAUGUAUCGCCACUUGGACCUUAGGUACUGUUAAAUUUUGUUUUGCCGCGAGCUCAUUUGCCUAGAAUACAUGCAAUUCCACGUACUUGGUUUCCCUUGGCCGCUAUAUUAUGGAUGCACAUUACAAGGCAUGCCUGUAUGCAGGCAUCAACACUAGUGGUAUCAACGGAGAAGUGAUGUCAGGCCUAGAAUACAUGCAUCUCUUCUACCAUUUUGAUCUUAUUAUUCUAGUUUAGAACCAUUCUCAUCUUGUUCUCCAAUUUCUAUUGUUUUCUGAAAGGUCUAUAUUUAUGUUAACAGAGGAUUACUGUUUUCAUUGUACCUUCAUUUGAUCCAAAGCCAAUUCAGGUCAGUUUUUAUUUCUUUGUACCUUAAUGGAUGCUGCAAGUGUGCAUGUUUUCAAUACUUUUAUUGUUUGAACUCUCAAGAAAUUGGACUUUUGUUUUGUCAAGGAGAUUGGAAAGGAGCGGGGGCACACACAAAUGACAGGUACAAUUUUGCAUCAUUGAUUGAAACUUAACUUGUUUGCUUCUUUAUUCCACCCUCAUGAUUAUUAUUUUUGUCUUCUACUUGAAAAUUCUUCACAUUUUCAAUACUAAGUCAAUCAGAAAUGAAAUAGGCUAUGAAGUCAUCAAGAAAGCAAUUGAAAAGCUUGGUCUGAGGCAUAAAGAACGUAUUUCAGCUUAUGGAGAAGGGAAAGAGCAGAGACUCACCGGAUGACACGAAACAGCUGAUAUUAGUACUUUCAAAUGGGUAAGAGGAAAAUAAAACAAUUUCCUUGCUGCGACACACAGAAAGAUGUCUUGUAUUAAUUUUGUUACAUCUUGUGCGAUUGACAGGGUGUUGCUAAUCGCAGGCUGCCUUUCAUGUUUGCCCCAACACAAAGAAAGAAGGAAAGGGGUGCUUUGAGGACAGAAGGCAUGCUUCAAACAUGGAUCCAUAUGUUGUGACUUCCAUGAUUGCAGAAACCACCAUCCUUCGGAAGCCAAGAGACCAUCAACCAACCUCUAAUAUGAAAUAUUGUUUUUAGUAGUCUGUCCAAGGAACCGUAGAAAGAUCUCUGUCAUCAGGAUGGAUAUCUUUCAGUUUGUUUCCCUCUGUAUUUGAAGCAGCAACUGAUGUUAUUGCUUUGUUUGCUUGCCUUAUGAUUCUGCAUUUUGUGUUGAAUAAUGUAAGGCUUACUUCCCGGAAAUGGGUUAAAAAGAUUUUACUUUGAUGAAAUGCAGAUCACAUCUCAAGUUGUGACAGGGCUUUAUCUUCAUCUAAAGUAAACUAUAUGUUGGUUUGUAAAGGUUUAAAUUUCUUCAAGAUCAAUGCACUUUGAUAAGAGCAUGAAACGUAGAUGGUUAGAUUUUGCUUCUUUUUUCUUGAUUUUAUAGCCCCCAAGGACCUAUAAAAUACACUUACGGCAUAAUAUGAUUUAUCUAACUUGAAAUCUCGUAGCUAUUUGUCCCUUGAACCCAUGGUUAUAGAAAGAAUGUCACAAGACUUGCCAAAUAGAGAAUGUGAGGAUAUCCCUAGAGUUAAGGAAAGAUGGUAAAAGGGAUAUCCCUAGAGUUGCAGAAGUUAAAAACCACAUCCUACUUUCAGAUUUCAGUUCUUCCAAUAGAAAAAAUCUAUUUAAUUGUUAAAAUCUCCAAUAACCUAGAGUUAAGGAAAGAAGGUAAAAAGGAUUCCACUAUGAAUGUGAGAACCAUGCAGUGUCUUUAUUUAUUUCAACUUUUACCUCCAUACAAAUGAAUAUAAAGACAUUCAAUCCUUGUCUUUCAAGGGUUUUAACUAAACAGCUGAAAACAAAGGCAAAAAUGCAAAGUUUUCUUCUAACAACAUUGUAUACAACAUACACUCAAUCAUCAAUCAUGGUGUAAAUGUGAUUCUGAUGAAACACAAUGAGCCCAAAAAUGUAAUGCCUAUUACCAAUACAGAUUACAUAAAAUCAACAUCAUCAAGAGCAUCAUAGGGAUUAACCACCAAAUCAUCGUCGGGCUUAUCAACAUGAAGCUGUUUUUUCUUCCCAGCUGCAAGGAAUGAAUAAAAAGCAAGGUGUUAUAUUCAUUAACAUUCUAAAUUGUAAUAUCUUCAGUACAACUGGUGAGAAUUCAGUAUCUGGUGGUUGCAUAUGGGUUUCCUCGAAAAGAGUAAUGAAAUCUUAGCAGAAGGUGCAUGUACAACACGAGUGCUGAAAAUUGUACUUUUUCUGAACCAAUGAAUUCCAUUUAACUAGCGUUCCAAAUCCAUGACUCAAGAAACAUAAAGUUUCAAAAUGUCUAAGAAUCUUACUGAUGCUUACUAUGAAAAAUAAGUGGAAUCAUGUACCUUGCUUCUUUUUGCUAACGUUGGCUUCUUUCUCAGCUUUUAUCUUUUCAUUUGCAAUUGCACUCACAGAAGCCGAAACUUCUUUUGCAUCUGCAGCUUUCAUGGCAGUCAUGGACAGUCUCAUUAUUGCCUUAAGUAAACCGAUAUAAUGGUAACUUUUCUGCAUUAGAGAAUGUUUUUUUUUUUUUCACCAUGUCAAAAACUGCACCAACCGUUUACUAUCAACAUACUAAAGCUAAUUCAACACACCUCAAAUGAGCGAAGCUUAUGUGAAAUAAGUUCUGCAUAUAUAUUCCAAGAAGUCACUUUCAGAUUUUGGUAUGAAACUAUCAAGCGAUUUCUCAUCACCUUUCUUAGCAAACAGUUCUGUAGUGGAUCUGAAAUCAGCUUCUUCCACCAGCCUAUAUAAUUGAGUAAAUCUUUAAGAAACCAUUGCUUAAAGGAAAAGGCAAACAAAAAACUUAUAAAUUGAAACAAGUCAAAACAAAACAUGCCUACUGCAAAUCAACAUAAUUAAAAUCAUGCUGCCAAACAACAUUUAACCAAACCCAACAUGAUCAGAACAAAACCUCAAGGACACUAUUAGUUGAAACAGGUUUUGUUAAGAGAUCAUACUAUCAUAAUAAUUAAAAAAAUAUCAUCAUCUAAAUGGUUAAGCAUUGAGAAAAUUUUCUUUUUUUCAUAUAUUUGUAAAGCAGCAAAAAGACAUAGGCAGCCAACCCUCAGUAUAGAACAAUUAAAAGAGGCAACUCAAGGAAGGUGAAAAUCUUAUACAAAAGAAACAGCAGCAAUAGCUUAGUCCUGACAUUCCUCACAUUAAAGUUGUAAAAAUGCUCAGAGAAACAUGAACAAUUAAAUAUACUCUAUCAUCAUAAAAGCUUACUAUAUUGUUUUCCCAUUGCAAAAUCAUAAACAUCUACAAUUUGAAGUCUCUAAAUUGCAGCAGAAGAUCUAACACGGUUUCCCUUAGAAGGAGCUAGGUAGAUCAUUCAUGGAGUAGCAUGACACUGGAGUUUUUAACUUUUAUUCCCACAUCCAGAUGCUUCAUUUAUGUUUUGAUUAACAUUUAUAAGUAAAGCUAUGAUUAGAUUAGAAUUCACUUCCUACAAGAAAUAUUAAUAACCUUGUCAUAAAAAUCUUGUUAGGUUGUUUCCAGAACAGGUAUUUUAAUUUCCCAAAAAGAGGUAAAGAAACAUGACAAAGAAAAACAGAAUAAUGUGUUUCCUAGCAAAUCCUCAACUUCAAUUCGUCUUCCAUCUAUUCCAGUUUAGCAAAAACAAAUUCCCUUCAGUUGCAUCCAAUUUGUUACAGGUGGAAAAAAAUUAUCAAAUUGUACUUGGAUUAUUUUUCAGAAGUCAUUGCCACAUGGAGCAAUUAUGAAACAGAAAAUCAAGGACACAUAAGCUAGAUGCGAUGUAUAAAAUUAUUAUGAAUUGUUCAUACUUCAAAUUUUUAGCGGAGAAAAAAACUGCAUAUUGAGUACCUUUGCUGGCGAAGUUUCUCAGCUAGUGGAUCUAGUUUCAAGUUCCGAAUCCCUUUAAUCUUCAAAUAAAAUAUAUUCUGGCUAUAAUAAAAUAAAAUAACAUUCCUAAUCAAAUCUACCAUAGAAGUAGGCCUUCCAUGGAGAAGGACCACAGGCUUUGAUGGUGGCUCCAUUUUCUACCUUUUAAAAUUGCUCGGCUCAGCCCAACUAUCACCAACACCAUGUAACUAACUUAAUUUCGCGCCAAUCCUCAAAAUCAACGGCCCCCCUAGUCUCAGUUCCCGCCGUCCAGUUCUCCACACCAAAUCUGUCCAAGGUCACUCGCUGUUCCCCUCAAUCUCUCAUGCACAUUCAUAUGCAUGGAUGGAAUUAGGGUUUAGGUCGCUGUAAUAGUUUAGUUUUCAGGCUGAAAUGUAAAAAAGACCGCUUUGAUUUCACUUUCAUGUAUUAUAAACUCAUUUGACUUGUUCAAGAAAUCGGAUUUGAGGUGGGUUUUAUACAAUUUUCCGAGAUUAACUUCUUGUUUUUGUGUGUUUCUGGUUUGUUAAUUGUGGUUGUUGAUGGAAGUAAUUGGUAAUGUAGUUUAUGUAUUUAUAGAAAGUCUCCACUCAACACGUUCAUUGAUUGUUUCAAACUUGAGCAAAUCAUAUCCAUUGCUGACUGUUUGAUGGCUAACCACUAGUCUUGUUUAAUAAUUUUUUCAAGGAUUUUAAAUAAUCUCUCACUCUCUGCCUGUCUCUCAACUCUUUUUGAGCCUUCGAAUAGAAGAGUCUGCAUUCAUUUACUUGAGAUAUGUAUAGGCAUGGAAGCCCCAUUCAGCUGACAGAUAAUUGCCACUAUAGAGACCAUUACUCUAUUGAAACCCAUUUCAUUACCACAACGUGUUACCUGUUCCAUCUUAGUUCAUUGUUAUUUAAUUCUAAAAAAAAUGAUAGAUAUGCGUCUUUAAUAUAAGAUUGCAAUUAUAUACUAAAUUACAAUGAUCCGUCCGUGCUCGAUGCGAUAUUUCUGGUAUCAAUUAACAAAUAAGAUAUUGAGGAUUCUAGGCAAAUUGAAUUAUUAUUCCAAUAGACCCUAGAAAAUUUCAGGAUGUAAUAGUUGAUUUAGUGGCUAAUACUUGAUAGGGCAUAAUCACCGAUUUAGUUUUAGAAGUAGUGUUGAUUUUUCAGUCUUCUUCCUCUUCUUUUCCCUAGCUAACUUCUGUCAUCUAUUGCAAGGACUUUGGAAAUCAAUGUCAACUUUGAUGUUGAUAGCCUGCUGCAAUGCCACAAACACCAGCCCCGCCGCAAUCAACUAGACCAUCUCGUUCUAGAAGAUGGCUAGGCACAAACUCUUCUGAUUAAGAAGACUCGCCAACCACUGCUGUGCAGCCUGCUCCUCCCACUAUAGGCAGCUGAUCACAGAUGGCUAGCAGGACUGCUGCCCUGACCAAGAUGACUGUCAAUGCAACCAUUAGGAAUUGCUGAAUAUGAUGAAGAGGAAGAAGAUUCUGAGGUUACAUCAGGGGAAGAUUCGUAUGACUGUCCAUUAUGCUGAAUGAGCAUUUUACAGAUUUUCCUUGCAAAUAUCGUGCUUUCUCAACACUAUAAUCUGUUGUAUUCUUGUUGUCUUUGUUAAUGGAAGUUAGAUAGGUUCGGUAGCUCUUUUGUAGUGUUCAUUUUACUUUGGGGGUGAUGGACAUCCUGCCAGUAAAAUCACCUCUAAACUACUUGUGUGAAUCUUAAUUCAUCUAUGAGGUUGAAGUAAGUUCUCAUGAGUUUUCCAGGGUUGUACAUUUGCCCAAGCUUCUCAUUUCGAGGUCAAUUUAGGUGUUUUUUUGUUUACGCAGCUGCAGCUGCUUUUAAAGCAAACUAUGUAUACAAUACAUUUGGUAAUAAUAAAACAUGAAUUAUUGUAUUCAUGGUGCCCGUUAAAAAUGCUGGUUUGUGAGAAGCAACUCUCGGCUGCUUCUCACCCGGCCGCGUCUAAUGCCCAGGUGAAUUGAUUCACCUGGACUGUUCAUGUCAAGGGCACUGUUCACUUCUUGAAGUGACCAGUGCCUAGGUGAAUUAAUUCAUGAAAAAUAUUAUUUAAAAAAUUAGAAGGAGAUCGUUUAAUGACGUAAUAAAAAAUUUAGUUUUUAUUAUUGCAUACUUAAGAAACCAUGAAAAAUAUAGUCCUUGUUUGGUAGAUUUUGUAUGUGAUGAAAUUGUAUAUAGUUUAAUGAAAUAAUAAAAAAUAUUUAAUAUUAAUAUUAUUUAUUUCAUGAUGUAAUAACAGUAGUUAAAUCUAUAAUAUUUAAAUUAAAAGCCAUCAAUAUAUAUAUAUAUAUAUAUAUAUAUAUAUAUAUAUAUAUAUAUAUUAUUUUAUAAUCUUAAUUUGAAAAGCAUUUUUUUAACCAAACACAUUAAACUACUUUUUAUUUAACCUCAAUUUCAAUUAUAAUUUUAACUAAACAUAUAUUUUUUCAAAUCAACCUCAACUAAAAAUACUUUUUAUAAAAUAAUUUUUUUUUAAACUACAACUAUAAUAGCUAUCACAAUAUCAAACAUACUUUUAAUUUAUAUUUUUAUGUACAUGUGGCCAUGACAUUUCAAGGGAUCGUGGGCUGAACUUUUGGAUGUUGCAUUAUCACUUUGGGUUUUUCUUUUGAUUGUACAAGAAAUUUGAAAGCACAAUCCAUAUGUUGCAUUAUCACUGUGGGUUUUUCUUUUGAUUGUACACCAAUGAACAAAGAGAAAUUUGAAAGCACAAUCCAUAGUUUGCAUUGUCACUUUGGGUUUUUCUUUUGAUUGUCAUAUGUUGCAAGCAGAAGUCACAGCUCACACCCACAAGGACAAGUUAAAGGUAGCUAGAUAGGCUUGUAGCCGGAAUCAGGGAAGUUCCUACACAGCAAUGAAACCAAGCCUUAUUCUCCUACUAAUAACUCGCUUAAAACCCCUCCCUCCUCCGGGAAGUUCCUACAUCUCACACGGGCAAACUUGCACCACAGUUUUGAAACCAAGCAUAGGAUGAAACGAAGAACGAAAGAGGCAUAAAAAAUUGCACCACAGUUUUGAUCAGAUCUUUUGCGAUGUUUGGAUAUAAAAGUGAAGGGUACAUUGCCUCUUGGUUGCAUAAUUUCUUAGUGGAGAGACACCUAAAGGACGUUCUUGACUUUAGGGAGUUUAUAAAAUCAACCCCACAAUCUUAUCUUUUCUUGAUUUGUCAAGUCUACAACGUGUGAAACCUACGCGGAUUGGCCAGUGCGGGACAAAGACAUUUACUAACCGACAAGCUAAUUCAAGUUGAUAAUGUUGUCUUCAAAUCAUAGCCAUGUUACUUCUCUGAAACUUCAAUAGCUUUAGUAUAGGCAUAGCUAGUCGAGUCUGCACUGUGUAGAGCCCAAUCAAUAUAUAGUUAGAGGACUGCAGUUUUAAUAUUUUAAUAUAAUUAAAACCACCACAUUAUUUACAAUUACAUUACCAAAAGAAAAACAAUUAAAAGCUAGCAGUAAAACACUCUGAUGCAAGAAACAUUUACACUUUUAGUAUUUUUAAAAAAACUAACAAGUUUCUUCUAAUCGGGUAAAAUCAACUUUUCAACUGAUCAAUUAUGCAUUACAAAAUCGAGUGGUAACAAAUUAGUCCAUACACUUUUUUUUUUAUCCAUGGUGAAAUGAGUUUAUUGUUGAGUUUUCCAAAAAAAAAUAUACACGUAGUAAUAAAAACAGUAAAAUAAAAUUAUUUAGAAGUCUCAAGUAUCUCGUUAGAUAAAUAUAAAAUUGUUUAGGAAUUUAUUACUUAAAGAUAUGAUCUUCUUUAACUUUAAAUAAUUAUUUAAAGGUUAAGUUAUCACAAACUAUAAAUUAUAUAAUUAUCUGGCAUCCAACGGUAAUCUAUACGGACCACCAAUGAAAAAUCUUUUAAAUUCCUAUUUAGAAGAGAAAUUGUUAUAUUUAGAGGUGUGUGUUCACGGUAAAGGUGCGGUUGGGUUCCAAUAAGCUUUUUUAUUAUUAUUUUAUUAUCUCUUCUCUUUCUUUUAGCUUAAAAAUUCAUGUGUCCUUCCAAAAAUUGAUUGUGUCCUCUAGUUUCUAUUUCUAUCAAUUUUAAUUCUCAUUCUUUUGAUAACUAUUUGUUUUGUAUUUAAUACUUUUUGAACUUCUUUUUUUUAAAAAAAAAUCAGACAUUUUGUUUCAUUUAGUUUUUGUAUCCAAUUUAGUUCUCAUUCUUUGAUUUUUUUUUUUGUGUUUUACUAUUUUCUUGAUUUGUUUUUAUUUUAUUUUUUUCCUUCAUCAUUUUAUUCCCUUUAAUUGUUUUUAUUCAAGUUUGAUCCUCAUUCUUUUUAUCUAUGUAUUCUUAUUAUUUUCUUGAUUUAACCCUCAAUAUUUUAUUUUAUUUUAUUUCUUUAUCAAAUAAUGGUUCCCAUUCUUUUUAUUGCUAUUUUUAUUUUUAUUUUUUUUCAAUUUAAUCCCAAAUUAUUUUUUUUCAUUUGGUUUUUAUACCAUAUUUGAUCCUUAAUAUUUUGAUUACUAUUUGUUUUUUUUUUUUAAUUAUGAUUGGAAAUUUUACUUCAUGAUUUUUAUUUGUGUUUACCAUUCCGCACGAUAAUCAUAUUCUUAUUAUCUAGAUCAUUGGUUUCGAAUAUUAACCCAAUUUAAGUUAGGUCUUUUUUUUAUCCUUUACUAAUUUUUUUUUAUUUUAUCAUUUGACUUUGGGUUAUUGAAGCUUGAGCUUUGUUAUUUGUUCAACUUUUAUUUUUUUGAGUUUAUCACGAUCUAAUAUCUUGGACGAAAGGUUAAUCGAGUUAACCCGAGUUGACUCAAUGUUUUUUUUCUCAAAUUGAUUUUAAGAAUUUUUUUUAUAUUAUUGACCUUGAGCUUUAUGAUUCUUUCACUUUUUUUAUGUGGGGUCAUUAUGAGUGCAGGUUAGUCAAGUUAACUUAGGUUUUUUCUGACGUUUCUUUUAUUUAACAUUAGUCUUUUAUUCUAGGUCCUUUUAAAAAAUAUAUAUAAUUUUUUUUUAUCCCGAUCUCAUAUUAUGGAUGAUAAGUUGGUCAAGUUAACCUAAGUUGACUCAGUUUUGUUUUUUGAUGUUACUUUUUCUUAAACUUGAUUUUUUUUUAAUUUUAUCAUUUGACAAUAGGUUAUUAGGCUUUGAGCUUUGUUAUGUUUUUUUUUUUUUUACUUUCUUUUCUUCAAGGUAAUCUCGAUCUCAUAUCCUAUGUCACGUAUUGGUCAAGUUAACCUGUAUUGAUUAGGGUUAUCUUCGACUGCACAUCUUUUAUUGUGUUAGGAAUAACUUCACCAAACCCGCAACGUAGAGCAAAACACCUACCUAUUCACUAUUAAAAAGAGAUUUAUAGUAUAAGUAAGAUAAUGUUUGUUUUUGUGGUUGGACCGCACUUUUCAAAAAAAUUAAUUUUUUUCUUCUACUUUCAAUUAAUAUUUUUAUAUUUUUAAAUUGUUUUAAUAUAUCUAUAUCAAAAAUAAAUUUUAAUAAAUAAUAAUAAAAUAUUAUUUUAAUAUAUUUUCAAAUAAUAUUUAUUUUAAAAAAUAAUAUUUGACAAUAACAAUAUUGUAUAAUUACCAUCACCAUACACUUUCACCUUUUACAUUUCUCAAUAAUUACUUGCCAUUUCUUGCUCGCAUCCCGUGCUUUUAGCUAUCCUUGAAACUUUUCCACUUCUUUCUUUGUCAACAUCCAAUUCCUUUGCCUUAGAAAACAAGCUUUGGCUGAAACAUUUUUUUUAUUAAUUUAUGAAUCAUAACAUAUAAAGUGUAAUUUUUAAAAAUAUAAAAGGUAAAAUGAAAACAUAAUUAAACUAUAAGAUAUUUUUGUAAUUAUUUAUAAGAAUUAACUGCUAUGGAUAAUGCACUUUGAAACUGCUAUGCUCAUUUGGAAAAAAAAAAAAAAAAAAAGUAAAUUAUACUCAAAAUCAUAGUUAAUUCUGGCCUAUAAUAAAACAAAUUGAGACUCCAAGUAAAUUUAUGUGUUAGGGUGUGCCUAUAUUUGUAGAAAUUCAUAUAAUCUACUUGUAGAAAACUCCUCGUUUAAACACUAGUGUGUAUAAUAAUUUUUUCAAGGCUCAACUAUGUUACUAGAUUCAUUUGUUAAAUUAUGAAUUAUAUCAACUUCAAGUUUCCCUCGUCAGAUUCUGAUCCUUAAUCUAUGUUUAGAAGUUCAAUCAAGACCAUGUUAUUUGUGAGAAGUCCUCAUAAAACCCAUUUUAUUAUGGUUAGAAAAGGAUAGAAGUGUUUCAAGCAGAUUGUGUUUAUUAGAUUCUGAACCUGCAAUAAUCUUGACCACAGUUAUCCACAGUUAUUCUCUGUCAGUUUAAUCACAGGCUCGUUAUAUUUCCCUGCACAGAGGGUCAUGUCAGCGCAAGGGAUCGUGUGCUAAACUUUUGGAUGUUGCAUUAUCACUUUGGAUUUUUCGUUUGAUGGUACAACAGAGAACAAAGAGAAAUUUGAGAGUUUUUUUCUACAAAAAUAUUUCACAAAUUAGCACAGUAGUGUAUAAGUACAUUAGCAUAUGAGCAACUAGGCAUGUUUGUAUUUUUCUUGUUGAAAUCAUUUUCAAUGGUAUUUAAAGUUUUAUAAUAGAAUUAUGGUGUCUCUUCAACGCUUAAUUCUUUCUUCUUCUUCUUCUUUUUUUUCCCUUCUCUCUUUAAAGUUUUAUAUUAUUUUUAUUUUUUUUUCAUGCAAUUUUGGAUCUUUAUAAAAUUACAUUUUGACUUUUGCAUAGAUAAAUUAUUUGACAAAGAAAAAACUUCAAUUGAAAAGAAAAAUCAAGUUGGCGAAUGUUGUCUUCAAAUCACAGCAGUGUCUGCACCGUGUGGAGCCUAAUCAGUGUAGUUAAAAGACACCGGUUUUAUUAUUUUGAUAAAAUUGAAGCAUCACUCUCAAAUCACAAAUAUUUGAAAAUAUAAUAACCUUCUCUAUUCAUGUCCAAGAUAGACUAAUAUUUGAUUAUUCCAGGGAGUGAGCAAUUAUUUUGUCCCUGUGCACUUCUCUUUUCCAUAACCAAUCUUGCGUUUUCAUUUGACAGAUUUCGUCUUCCUGUCACAGCCAUGUUCCUUCUCUGAAUCUUCAAUUGCUUUACUAUAGCCAUAGCUAGUCAAGCUCCACCGUGUGGAGCCUAAUCAAUUCAUUCACAGAACAGCACAGGUAAAGCCCAUCACCAAACACUUUCACCUUUUCCGUUUCUCAUCUCAAACUGCUCUGUCUUCUCAAUAUUUACUUCCUAUUUCUUGCUCACAUCCCCUUCUUUUAGUUAUCCUUGCUUCUACUUCUUAUUGUCAACAUCCAAUUCAUUUCCAUUCGAAACCAAGCUAUGGCUGAUGCAAUUCUUUCUGCUCUCGCGAGUACAAUCAUGGGGAACUUGAAUUCCCCAAUUCUUCAAGAGCUUGGACUUGCUGGGGGCCUAACGACCGAGCUUGAAAAUCUCAAGCGCACGUUCAGAACCAUUCAAGCUGUGCUGCAAGAUGCAGAGGAGAAGCAGUGGAAGAGUGAGCCUAUCAAGGUGUGGCUCAGCGACCUCAAGGAUGCAGCUUAUGUUGUUGAUGAUGUACUGGAUGAGUUUGCAAUUGAAGCUCAGUGGCUUCUGCAGCGAAGAGAUCUCAAAAAUCGAGUAAGAUCCUUCUUUUCUAGCAAACAUAAUCCACUUGUUUUUCGACAAAGGAUGGCUCAUGAAUUGAAGAAUGUUAGAGAAAAACUAGAUGCCAUUGCCAAGGAGAGACAAAAUUUCCACCUAACAGAGGGGGUUGGAGAUGGAAGCAGUUUUGUUCAGCGUCAGACUUGGUCUUCGGUGAAUGAAUCAGAAAUUUAUGGAAGAGGCAAGGAGAAAGAGGAACUAGUCAACAUCCUGCUCACUACUUCAGGUGAUCUCCCUAUUUAUGCUAUAGGGGGAUGGGGGGCUGGGUAAAACAACACUUGUUCAACUGGUCUUCAAUGAAGAAAGUGUUAAACACAAUUCAGUUUGAGGAUCUGGGUGUGUGUAUCUACUGAUUUCGAUCUCAGAAGAUUAACAAGAGCCAUCAUAGAGUCCAUUGAUGGUGCCUUGUGGUCUUCAAGAAUUGGAUCCCUUGCAACAAUGCCUCCAACAAAAGUUAAAUGGAAAGAAGUUUUUGCUUGUAUUGGAUGAUGUGUGGGAUGAUUAUGGUGAUAGGUGGAAUAAAUUGAAGGAGGUAUUAAGGUGUGGAGCUAAAGGUAGUGCUGUCAUAGUAACUACGCGUAUUGAGAUGGUUGCUGAUAGAAUGGCAACAACUUCUGUCAAGCAAUUGGGGAGAUUGUCUGAAGAAGAUUCUUGGCAGUUGUUUCAACAGCUUGCAUUCGGGAUGAGAAGGAAAGAGGAGCGGGCACACCUGGAAGCUAUUGGAGUGUCAAUAGUCAAGAAGUGUGGUGGUGUUCCUUUAGCUAUAAAGGCACUAGGGAACCUAAUGCGGCUAAAAGAAAGUGAAGAUCAGUGGAUAGCUGUCAAAGAAAGUGAGAUUUGGGAUCUAAGAGAAGAAGCAAGCGAGAUCUUACCUGCUUUGAGGUUGAGUUACACUAAUCUAUCACCACAUUUGAAGCAAUGCUUUGCGUAUUGCGCUAUAUUUCCAAAAGAUCGGGUGAUGAGGGGGGAGGAGUUGGUUGCUUUGUGGAUGGCAAAUGGUUUUAUUUCUUGCAGAAGAGAAAUGGAUUUGCACGUUAUGGGUAUUGAGAUAUUCAAUGAGCUAGUGGGAAGGUCAUUUCUGCAAGAGGUCGAGGAUGAUGGAUUUGGCAACAUAACAUGUAAAAUGCAUGAUCUUAUGCAUGAUCUUGCACAAUCCAUUGCAGUACAAGAAUGCUAUA